rnacentral:lncRNA from 1 species
GGUAAAGAGAGGUGACAAAAAAAAAUAAUAAAAGAAGCAAGAAAAAAAAAAUAAAGAUAAAAAUUUAUAGAAAAAAAAAAGAAUAAAGAUAAAAUUCCAUCGUUAACUGCAAAAAAAAUUAUAAGUUGCAUUACUUAAAAUGUAAAGUGCAGCUUUAAAAUGAAAAUUACACUCUUUAAACGAAAAUUACACUCUUUGGGAGAUAUUUACACUAUUUUUUCUCUUAUUGUACUCUUUCAGAUGUAAACUGCAUCCAUUAAGAUGAAAGUUACACUCUUUAAACGAAAGUUGCACUGUUUCUCCUCUUGUUGCACCAUUUCUCCUCUUGUUACACUAUUUUUUAUCUUAAACUGCACCCCUUUAAGAGAUAUUUAUACUGUUUCUCCUCUUGUUGCACUGUUUCUCCUCUUGUUGCACUGUUUCUGUGUAAACAAGAGGAGAAAUAGUGCAACAAGAGGAGAAACUGCACUGUUUUAAGAGAUAUAUCUACUGUUUCUUCUCUUGUUGCACUGUUUCUCCUCUUGUUGCACCAUUUCUGUGUAAACAAUAGGAGAAAUAGUGCAACAAGAGGAGAAACAAUGCAAUAAGAGGAGAAACUGCACCCUUUUAAGAGAUAUUUAUACUGUUUCUCCUCUUGUUGCACUAUUUCUGUGUAAAUAAGAGGAGAAAUAGUGCAACAAGAGGAGAAACAGUGCAAGAAGAGAAGAAACUGCACUGUUUUAAGAGAUAUAUAUACUGUUUCUCCUCUUGUUGCACCAUUUCUGUGUAAACAAGAGGAGAAAUAGUGCAACAAGAGGAGAAACUGCACUGUUUUAAGAGAUAUAUCUACUGUUUCUUCUCUUGUUGCACUGUUUCUCCUCUUAUUGCACCAUUUCUCCUCUUAGUGCAGUUUAAGAUAAAAAAUAGUGUAACAAAAGGAGAAAUAGUGCAACAAGAGGAGAAACUGCACUGUUUUAAGAGAUAUAUCUACUGUUUCUUCUCUUGUUGCACUGUUUCUUCUCUUAUUGCACCAUUUCUACUCCUGUUACACUAUUUUUUAUCUUAAACUGCACCCAUUUAAGAGAUAUUUAUACUGUUUCUCCUCUUGUUGCACUGUUUCUCCUCUUGUUGCACCAUUUCUCCUCUUGUUACACUAUUUUUUAUCUUAAACUGCAUCCCUUUAAGAGAUAUUUAUACUAUUUCUUCUCUUAUUGCACCAUUUCUACUCCUGUUACACUAUUUUUUAUCUUAAACUGCACCCAUAUAAGAGAUAUUUAUACUGUUUCUCCUCUUGUUGCACUGUUUUUUCUCUUGUUGCACAAGAGGAGAAAUAAUGCAACAAGAGAAAAAACAGUGCAACAAGAGGAGAAAUAGUAUAAAUAUCUCUUAAAUGGGUACAGUUUAAGAUAAAAAAUAGUAUAACAGAAGAAAAAAUGGUGUAACAAGAGGAGAAACAGUGCAACAAGAGAAGAAACAAUAUAAAUAUCUCUUAAAGGGGUGCAGUUUAAGAUAAAAAAUAGUGUAACAAAAGAAAAAAUGGUGCAACAAGAGGAGAAACAGUGCAACUUUCGUUUAAAGAGUGUAACUUUCAUCUUAAUGGAUGCAGUUUACAUCUGAAAGAGUGCAAUAAGAAGAGAAACAGUGUAAAUAUCUCUCAAAGAGUGUAAUUUUCGUUUAAAAAGUGUAAUUUUCAUCUUAAAGCUGCAGUUUACAUCUUAAAUAGUGCAACUUAUAAUUUUUUUUGCAAUUAACGAUGCAAUUUCAUCUUCAUCCUUCUUUUUAUAUAAUUUUUUAUCUUUAUUUUUUUAUUUUUUCUAUAAUUUUUUUUGUCACCCUCUCUGCCAAAGCCACAGCGCCGGCGACGACACCUCUAAGGAACCCCCGCUCCGAGGCUGCAGCGCCGCAGUGACCUUCACGGUGUCGGCGUCGGCGCCGGCGAAAAUGCAUCGUCGUCGGAGGCGACAGAGAAGGAGGGAGAGGGAGAGGCGAGAAGGGCGGGGAAGAGCGAGAGAGGCGUCGUCGUCGGAGAAGGUGGAGGAGAGUUGGGGAAGAAAAGAAAAGAAAAAAAUAAAAAAAAAAGUCACGGCGCGGCCUUGGCGGGGUCGGAGGCGAGGAAUGUGGGGGGUGCGUGGGCGAGGGCGAGGGCGAGGGCGAGAGCAUGAGGGUGAGAGGCGAGGCGGUCCGCCUCCGCCUCCGCCUCUACCUUCGUUAUUUUUUUUUGGCGAGAAAAAAUAAAGAACGAGAGAAACGAAGAUGAGAGAGAAAGAGGAAAGAGAAAAAGUAAUAAAGGUAUUUUAGUCAGUUUGCUGAAAAAACGGAUCGAAUCUACAAAAACGAAAAAGGUGGUCCAGUGGAUUUUUUAUGCAAAUUGGCCUAAUAUAUUUAAAUUAAUAUGUAUAUAAUUAUAUAUAAUAAUAUAUAUUAUAUAUUAUAUAUAUAUUAAUGAAGAGGUCCGUGACUCUCUCGUGUCUUCAGGGUGUCCACGAGAUGAAGAUGAUUCGUGAGACCGCGUGCGCAUAACGCCCUAUGAGCCCGCGCUUUUUUUGAGCAGCUUUUCGUUUUCGCGGGACGCCGGACGGAAUCAGUAAAAUUGAUUUUUUUCCAUUAGAAUCUGUAAAACAAAUUUUGGCAAAAAAUUUUACAUGCCAACCAAAACUGAGGAAAAAAUUUUGGUGGAAAAAUAAACAAUUUUCGGAGCAUGUUUUACAGGCGCAACAAAUACCUCCUUAGUAUUCAGUUCGUUAUUUUUGGCGAAAUAAUCAUCCUUGAAUAUUUAUAUAUAUAUAUAUAUAUAUAUAUAUAUAUAUACUUAUAUAUAUAUUUAUAUAGUAGAUUAGGCUGGAAUACUAUUAAUAGUAAAACACUCUUUUUGUAUCAAGUUUUUCACCCUUUGAUAAAAAAUUGUAGGUCAGGAUAUAUUGUUCAGUUAGAGUGGUCCCCUAGGUUUGAAGAUGUGUCGGCCACGUGGGUUUUAUUAGUUAUUUAAUCAAUGGUCUUAGAAAAUAAUGAAAGAGUGAUCCAGCAAGCGCUUAAAAACUGGUAGCAACAAUGAGAUUUUGCUACUAAUAGUCGUCCAUAUAUAUAAUAUAUAUUAUAUAUAAUAUAUAUCAUAUAUAUUAUAAUAUAUAUAUAGAGUCGAGCGCUAUGCUAUCGCGACGGCACAGAGCUCCGUGAUUCCAACUCUUUUGAGUUUGCGACAUUUCGAUCGUCGAUCCCGGCUCGCGUUAAACUUGAUCUAGAGUAUUUGAAUACUAGUAAAUAAGGUUUUAUGAUUUUACGCAUAUCAUGUGCUAGGUGACGAAGGGCUCAAAGAUCAACAGGCUGAAAUAAAAUCUUACAAAAUGUAUAAUAGGACAUUAAAAUUUAAAUCAAGAUAUUGAUCUUGUUUUAUAUAGUAUAAAAGAAUUUUCUAUCAAUUUCACAGUUGAUUUUGGAUAUUUUCUACCCGUUAAACUUGCAAACAGCUACUUCGACUCAUUGAAUUUUGUUGAUUUGAGCCAUUUCGAUCACUAGCACAGUGAUAUCGAAAAGAAUAAAUUUAUUUUCUAAGGUACUUAAAUCACUUAGAUCUAAAUUUAACGCGAGCCCAAUCAAUGAUUCGAAGUCGCACAUCGAAAACGCGCUGGAAAGCACGGGAAGGCUCCGUGCUUCGAUGCAGAGUAGCCUCACUAUAUCUAUAUAUAUAUAUUUAUAUUCAUUAUAUAUAUAUAUAAUAUAUAAUCCUUAUAUAUAUAUAGAGUCCAGCUAUGGUGCUUCGUAAAGUACCAAGCAUUUAGAGUGCUUGUAAGUUUUUUACCGGUUAGUAUCUACUCUGAAUCAUUUUCAAGCCAUCGUCGAAUUAUAUUAUUCACCAAUCCCACCACUUAACCCUAGAGGGGCCCAAUCAUCCUAACUGCAAUCUCUUAAUCCGAUGGCUAAAAAUCUACAAGCACAAUAUACUUGAUACUUUUAAAAGCAUUAGGAGUCAUUUCUCACCCCUUCUCUCUCUCUCUCUCUCUCUCUCUCUCUCUAUAUAUAUAUAUAUAUAUAUUUAUGUAUUGUUUAAAUUAUAGAAAAUUCUUUAUCAAUAUUUGAUUUUUUAUUUUUUUUUUCUUCUGUUUUUCAAAAAUUUAUAUUUUGCCCCUUAAAAGUUAAAAAUAUUCACUUCGGCCUCGCCUUUAGUGUUCCGUUAGAAUUUUAUUUAUAUAUAUAUACUAUUAUUAUAUAUAAUUUUUAUAUCCAAAAUAUUCUUGAAAUUUUCAUCUCCCUUCUCAUUUCUCAUCGACAUCGUCGGCCGCAUCGUCUCGCCCUCGCACACUCCUCUGUCCGUGCCCAUACAUACGCCCUCACCUAUCUUCGCCGCCUUAUCCCUGCCCUCGCCCACCUCUAUCCCCUUUCCCACCCCGAUCUCCUCCGUAUAGUCAUUGAAAUGGAGAGGCGGCUAAGGUGCUAGAGGAGCAGGGGAGCAGAUAGAGAAAAUGAUGUUGGAGCUAGGGUCGAGAAAGGCAUGAAGGACGAAGGAGGAGAGACUGACGAUGAGCAGGAUUAGAGAGGAAGAUGAAGCGAAUGAGGGGUAAUUUGAUUAUUUUCUCAUCAGAGAUAACACUGUACCUUAUAUGAAUUUUUUUUUAUUUUUAAGUGGGUAAAGUAUAGGUUUUUCAAUGACAUGGGAGAAAGUAGAAAAGCAGGUAUUAAUGGGAGGUUUUCUGUAAUUUAGCCUUACAUAUUUUAUAUAUUUUAUAUUUAUAUAUUUAAAUAAAUAAUUAUAUAUAAAAUAUAAAUUUUUAUUAUUUGAUUUUUAGCUAAACAGAAAUAUAAAGCCCAACUUAAUUCUAAAAAAAAUCAUUUACAUAUAAAGUUCCAACCAUUAGAUCAAAGUCUAAUGGGUAAGAUCUAAUAAAUUUAUUUUUUUUAUAUAUUAUUUCUAAUUUUUUUAACUUGCUGUUUGUGAAUCAGCUCGUGUUCGACUUGUUUAUUCUCGUUUAAUGUCAUGCCUUGGAGUCCCUUUACAGCUUAUGGAUUAGCAGAAGUGUCCAAUUUUUUUUUUGAAAAGCCUUGACCAAUGGAUGACAGACCCGCCAUAAAUAUAAAGUAUGAACUGUCCCCGCGAACAGAAUUUUCUCUGUAUUUGUACGGCGUCGCACAUAGUACAAGUUACAACCACAUCUAUUUAUAGUACAUAUUUACAAAUACAUUCACCAUGACACAGCAUAGUAAUCAUAAACCAUCCAUACUUAUCGGUUGAAAAUGAUUCCCACUUGUAAACUUAUUUUGAAAUACUAGAAUCACGAAAAUUGUAAACCUUUUUUUUAAAAAAUCGUUUCCCAUACGAAAACCCUUUAUUUUCUUUGAAAACGAGCUAUCAUGAGAGGUAGAAAAUCAUUUUCAUAAAUCCCCACAAUAUUCAUAAAACAGCUUUAUUUAAUAUUCUAAAACAUGCCAUAAGUAAGGCAAAACCAAAAUAAAACCAAAUAAAGUUAAACUGAACCAUAUAAACUCUAAAUUAUUUAUUAAUGGAAAAAGGGGUGGAAUCUAGAAUUGAAUGCCAUCAGGUCGAAACCUUUAACACUUGCUAGAUACGCGCCUCACGUCUCGUCCCGACUCGGUCCGCCAAGGCCACAUGAAAUUGGGGGGAGGGGGGAGGGAGGGGGGGUGAGAAACCAAACAAGGGUCUUUCAGUGGGUACUGCAAGCCGACGAGGGCGAGUAUACUCACCGGUAACAAAAAAAUGUAACAAUGAAAGGUAAUACAGUAGCAAUGUCAAUAGGAAACAAGAUAUAUAGAUAUGCAACUACUGCUACUGUAAAUAAUAUGCGUCAAUCGGACGAUCAAUCCAAAAUACCCAAUCCAAAAUCCGCCGUGCCGGUCUAAGGAUCUCAGGUAAGUGCCACGCCACUUUAAAUAGCAUAUAAGCCUAGUAUAAGCUCCUAAACUUACGGGUCGGAAGUUCAACAACUUUUUCGAAAAAGAACACCGUUACGGUGGCCAAACCGCUGGUGUACGUGAAAUGCGUGCAAGUAGUGACGAUCGAUACAAAUAUGAUCAAUAGCCGUCGGCAAGUAGCCAACAAUCGACCCCUAAGGAUGUAGCGACCGAAUAGGUCAUAAACCAGAAUCUCAAAACCGACCGACUACGUCACAACUGAUGUCACAUCAUGCAUAGAUAUACUCAACAACCGCUCUACUCCUAGAUCAUGAUAAUCGAAUACAAAAACAACUGAGUAGAGCAUCAUGUAAUGAAGUCAUAUGGUGUUAGGCUCAACAAUCAUAGAUAAUACGAGGAACAUAAAGAAAGAGGGUGGAGGGAACGUCACCGAGCAUGCACCACUAGACUGACUGAAACGACCCAGCCCACUAGUAACAAUAACACGUUGGGCCUAACCAUCGGCCCAAAAUGCUUAAGCCCAGUUAUUACUAUUAAUGUCUAAGUCUCUUAGAUACCCAAUCACAUCCCCAUUCAUAUCCGAUGUGGGAUUAUUGGGGUGUGACAGACUUCCCCAGUUAAGACCCUUACGUUCUCGUCAGUCCAAUCACACACAUAGCCCAAGAUUACCAUGCGAUGUGAGAUGCGUCUUGCUAGUCUUGUCAUCCAGAUUCUGCCAUAGCCGGUUACCUUGUCAUACAGACUCCGGCAUAGCCGAUUACCUUGUCUUUCAGACCUUGGCUCAGCCGAGACUCGCCACAUAUUUCCGGCUAGUGAACUGGCUCUGAUACCAAAUGAAACGACCAAGCCCACUAGCAGCAAUAACACGUUGGGCCCAACCACUGGCCCAAAAUGCUUAAGUCCAGUUAUUAUUACUAGUGUCUAAGUCUCUUAUAUACCCAAUCGCAUCCCCAUUCAUAUCCGAUGUGGGAUUAUUGAGGUGUGACACCGACUUCGGAUCGAAAUACCCACCGAUAUCUUUGUCGUACGUGCUUGUCUCCAAACUGCGCAAUAUCAUCGCCCGAACCUACAAAAGGUUCGCAGGGUCAGAGUCCAACCCACUGACUCAAACACAAUGCACACAAUUUUCAAAAUUUUCCACGGAAUCAGUUUUCCAAAAAAAACCGAUUUUCGUAACUCAUCGAAAUCCCGAAAAAUUGCACCGGGACGCCACCGGGACUUACGAAGUGUCCCAAAACUCACUGACUCAUGUCACGAGUCAUCCACUACCUCAAAACAUAUCAUUUUGUAUGUCCUGACAGCAAACACCAAGGUCGCACGUUGAAACGAUUAUUGUCGGAUAAUCACUUCGAUCCGAGUUUUUGGAAGUGUCAAUUUCGACACCGGAACCCUUUGCUACUUACCCAUCGUCUUCGGACAUUCGAGAAGAUGUAGGUGACCAGCCAACAAGGUUCAGUGGCAGUAAUCAGAGUGUUUCAACAGCGUCGGACGAUAUCCGACCCAAAACCGAGUUUUGUCGGUGAAUUUCACCGAAAAACGCACCAAAACCGACAUUCGAUCUCUACGAAGGGCUUCUGACCUUGGACAAUCAGUCCAGAGGUCAUCUACCACAUAUACACACUAUCCACAGUAGCCAUGAAGCAACAAUUUGCAUAAAAGUCCUUACUAUUACAUACAAUCACAUUUAUACAUGCAAUUAGAGGGGUUUAAUGGCUCGUUACCACUAACCGAGGGUCUUCGAGAUCAGCCAAGAUACGGGCUGAUAGGUCUCGAUGAGGCGAAGGUCAUGCUUGCUGUCCAGAGCAUCGCGGGUCGUUGGGGGAUGUGUGGGAGUGAGCCAAACUUCAACAAACAAUGCACACAGGAGCGACUAGGCCGAACACGCUGAUCCGAGCCUUACCGACAGUAAAUAAGGUGAGCACUAUGAUCAGCACGGACUAGGGGUUAUCGUGCUCACCUCCGGAGGCGUCGGAACAGCCUCGGGUUGGCGGAACAGUGAAAACGACCCAAAACAGCCCUAAUUAGGCUUGUUGUGAGCAGAGAGGGCCAAGCUCGGCCGACGGCGGCUCGGUGGCAGGCACGCCGGUGGCAGGGGGGCGGCUGAUAGGGAGAGGUUGGCGCGCGCACUAGCCAGCGACGGGAUGUGGCAGCGACACAGGAACAAGCUGAGCCAACACAGCUUCACCUCAGGCUCAGCUUGCUUCUUCGGCCACGGCGAUGGCCAGAGUAGCCGGGAGAGGGGCGAGACCUUCCUUUGGAGCCGAGAGGAUGAGAGAGAAACGACGGCUGGCGGUGGGGAAGAUGGCGCAGUCCCGUGUAGCUGCACAAGCAGCUGCGGCGACGGCGAUUGGGGGCGGCUGCGGCCGGUAGGAGGAGGUUGCCGGAGGUCCGGGAUGUCAUCGGAGGAGAGCCCGAGGCAGAGGGAGCACCCUGCACAAGCCUCAGCCGAGAUAGAGAGCUACAAAGUGGUGGUGGAGAUAGAGAAGAAUGUGGAGGUGGUGCUGGCCGCGUUUGGCCGGUCGGAGCACCAUCGCCGACGGCCGGGAGGCACGCGGCCUACGCAGAGGAGGGAGGGAAUGUGGCUAGCUCAAGUUUGGAGGUGCCUGGAGCUAGGGUUAGGGUUUUCGUGGAGGAGAACCCUAAUUCCUACAUAUAUAAGGAUGCACUUUUGUGUAUAAGUCCUCCAAACCCUAAUAUUUCUUGGAGGAGGUCCCUCACAGCGUGUGUAAAAUGCACGUACGCACCUUUGUAUGCGAUUUCACGCGAUUCGAUACAUACAAUAUAGGGACUUUUGCAAAAACUUCGUUUCACCAAUUUCGACCCCUUCUCGGUAAUCGCAUGAUAUCAAGAGAUCUGUCCGUCGGAUUUGCGAACGGACUGCGCCAGCGCUUCCAUCACUGCCAAGCCAUCAAGAUAAGGAUUUUGUUUCGCCUGAAUUGGUUGCAGAUUCGCGACAAUUGAAUCCGUCCUAUCACCGAUUCACACAUACCCCCCCCUCCCGCCCCUCCCCUCCCCACACACCCACAAAACACAACACACACACACACACAUACAUAUAUAUAUAUAUAAUUCAAAUUUAAAUAAAUAUUCGAAUUCAAAUUUGAAUUUUUCUUGAUUAAAAGUCUCGGAUAUUACAUUUAAUAAAUGAGCCAAAUACGAUUUAAAAUUUUCUCCAUACUUUAACAAGCCAGCUCGUAUUUGGCUCGUUGACGGUCCUAAAUGAUACCAUAUUUUCGUUUUCCUCUACUGAUGCAUCACGCUUUAAGAUUAGUGGAGGCUUAGAUUUUUUUUGUUUCUUAAGAUUAGUGGAUUCUUAAACCUGAUAAAAAUAAUUUAUAACAAAAAAAAUUUCACGGAAAAGAAAUUUUAUGGUUUCUUAUGUUCGUUUCAACAAAAAAAUGAAAAUAAUUUUCCAAACAUGCUUAUUUUGUUUGUAGGAAAAAAUAAUAAAAUGAUUUAUGAUAUUUUGAUUGUAAUAGGUUCUAUGAUUAAUGAUUGAAAGUUUGAUAUUAUAGCAAUAAUAUAGUAACAAUAAAUAAAUUGAGUUUUAUAUUAUCAUAAUAUUGUGAGUAUAUAUAUUGAAAUUAGUAAAUAAUGUUUAUAAUAAUCUUACUACAAUCUUAAUUAUAUUUUAUUAUGUUGAUUAGAUUUCAAACAUGAUUAAAUUUAUAAAUAGAAUUUUGUGAUAAUUUUACGAAAAAUGAGUGUUCAUCUUAUCGUAGUCUUCAUAUACUAAGCAGAUUACUAAUUAAAUUAUAAAUAAAAAAUUAUUUAAGAAAUCUACGUAAUUAGAUGCAUAGUUAAUUGGAUGAUAAUUAGAUUUUAUUGCUAUUGUAACUUUAAUGUAAUAACUAAAAUGUAUAAGUAAAUAUUAGUAGAUGUGUGCCAAUAAUUAAUCAGAAGUAGAUUUCAUAAUCAACAAAUUUUAUAACUAAUUCAUUACCUUAUAUUAAUGUUAAGAUAAAUGAUAAUUAAAUUAAUGACCAAUGCAUUUUACUUGAGGGUUGAGGUGUUCGGCUUCGUUCUCCAAUUGGAAGUUUGUUAUAGAAUGUUAACCGUAUUUUGUUCAAUCGAAAGCUAAAGGUAGAAUUAAGGAAAAUAUUAAUUUGGUCAUAUUUAUUUUAUUCAAGUUCCAAAUUCUUGCCCCGUAGUUUUUCUUUUUGUUUUUUUGUAAUACAAGUUUUCUAUUUCCUUUCUAUUUCUCUAUUUAAUUCAUUUAUAGGUUACUUAUUUUCAGAAAUUUUAAUGUUAUUUUACUAACAUACUCAUUUUGACAAGUUUUAAUAUACUCCUACUGAGCAGGACUGUUGUGCUCUCAGGAGCACGGAGGCCUCUGUGCUUUCAGGAGCACGGAGGCCUCCGUGCUCCUGAGCUGUUUUCGACGAUGAAAUUUUCGAAUCGACGAUCGGUUCUAUUAGACUUGAUCUAGCGUAUUUAAAGUUUCUAGAAAAUAUUUUUUGCUAUUUUUCGAUAUCAUUUACCUAGCAAUCAAAAGGAUUCAAAAUCAAUAAUUUUUAAAGGUUGAUGUCUGCCGUUUUCCAAUUUAACGGUGUAUAAGUAUUCAAAUCAAAUGAAUUUUGAUACAAAAUUCUUUAUCCUAUCCACAACAAGAUCACUAUUUCUGAUCGAAAAUUUUAGUGCUAUAUCACCACUUUUUAUAGAAUUUGCUCCUGAGAGCACAACAGUCCUGCUCUACUUCUACCUAUUUUCAUAAAUUGUGAUAAUUUUUUAAUUAUUUAACUAGUAUAUAAUCUAACCAUAACCAAAACAUGAUAAGAAUAUUAACAAAAUUGCAAGUUGGAAGAAAAGCUAAAAGAAGAGAAAUUAUAUAUAUGAACUUGAACUAAUCAAUUCAAUCUUUAUUGAAGUUGAAAUAACUUUCAAUUGCAUAUGAAUUAAAGUAAGAAUGUGAUGAGGAAAAAUGAUGAAUUGAAAAAUAGUUGCAUUCAGAUCAGAACUAAACUUGUUCAAUUCAAUGGAAUUUGUUUUUUUUUUUGAGAAAAAGGUAGCACGCUAUCUGCUUCAUUCAUUUAGGGGAUGAAUUAGGCUUACAUAAUGGAGGCAGCCGGGGACUCCGACGGGAGAAAGAGCGUCAAAAGCUAGAAAAACAAAGACAAGAAACGAAAACGACAAGAGACUAAAACCAAAAAAAGGAAGGAAAUGAGGGUAAGGGAAGCGAAAGCGAUGAAUUUGUUAAAAAAAGAAGUUCAAGCUAUAAUAUAGGGAAAGGAGAUUUAUGUAUCCAUGGCGAGCUGGCUGGCUUUUUAAACUAUUGCAGCCAUCAUGAAUUUAUGUAAAAUUUUUUCCUUAAGUUUUUUUAAAAAGUAAUAUUGCAUAUUGAGCUUAUGCUGAACCAGUGGCAUGUUUUUAUAGCAUUACACAUCCGAAUUAUUUUCUUUCUUGUCCUUUUCAAAAAGACGGAGUAUCCUAUUGCUAAAAACAAAGGCUACAUUAUUUAUGUCCCCUCGACUAAUAGCCAAAGCUUAUACUGUCUUAUUUAAGAAUCAUUGAAAAACAACUUAAAAUUCUCUUAUUGGAUUAAAAUAAUGGACUAUGCAAUGCUAAACUUAAUGACAAAUGAUCAUACUUUUGGAAAUUUUGUGAAUGAGAGUUUUACCCUAUUAGUAUGGACUAUAAUGGUUCAUGACUUUAAUGAAAGGACAAAAUUAGCCUUUAUCAAAGUCUAUUUGCAAAAUUAUUUGAAAGUUUUAAAGUGUCAAUAUUUGACAUAUCAUACUCUAGCCAACAAGAGUCGAUAGGGGUGGGACUACACGUGCAACAUUCCUACUGCUGUUGACGCAAGAGAUUAGGAUGCCGUUAUAACAAUAUAUUAUGUUAUGUUAUUUUACUUUUUAAAAAACUGUUAUGACAAAUUUACUUGCAGGUUAUUUUUUGUAAGAAAAUCCAACAUAUGCAAAAUAUAGGGACAAACCAUUUCUUCCAUAUCAAGCUAUUGAGUUUUUAUUGGAAAAAGCAAUAGUAACCGGAAGGCAGGGGUUUAGUUCUAAGAUGGAUGCCAAGGAUGGCCGUAGCAACUCCUCAUCUUCAUCGGUUAUGCAAUGACUCAAUAUGUAGAGUUUAGAAAAAAAUUUAGAGAAUGCAACUCCAACUCCCGUUAAACUAACAAGGCACUAUAUAAGUAGUGCCUCGGGUUGCACUUCGUCAAUGAAGAAGCUUCGCAUGUAACAACCAAUUUUUACACCAACUUCAAACUGUAAAAGAAAGGUUGACAAUUACUUAAAAAGUAUUUACAAGCUUGUUGCAUUAGAAAAAAAACGAACAUAUAUUUCACAAAUCAUAAUAAAAUGUGAGAUACAAGCAUGACCAAACGUUCACUCCAUAGAGUGGUUGCAUGAAAAGGUUAAACGAUAUUGCUCAUUUGUCUUUCAAUAAUAUACUUGUUGCCUAUAAUGUUCUAAAAGAUGAGCAUAAUAGGCCCAUUUUUUUAGGCAAUGAUGAUAUACAGGUUUGUAGGUGUGUAUGGUAGGGUGGCAUGUAUAAAGAUCACUAUAGACCAUUACUUUUUAAUUUGUUGUUGGAAAAUUUUUCUUUCCAAUUAAGUGGUGGAAAUUAAGGUGGAAUUUGUGACAAAACGGAAGUAGCAAGUGGCUGGUCAUUAUGUUAAUGCCCACGACUGUGGUGUUGUUGAAAAAAACUUUGGGGGAUAUUGAUGAAUUGUAGGUACUAAUUAAUUCCAAAAGCUUGAGCUAUCAAAAAAAUACAAUUAAUUUAUUAGAGCAUACAAAUACAACACUCAUGAAUCUUGAUUGUAACUCGGUACAAAUUGAGCUCUCGCUACUUCAAGCAUUUUUUUGGCCCAACCUGAUCUCUUACCAUUUUGAGCGUGACCUGGCACAACUAGACCUUCGGCCACCAGGCAAGAUGCUGCUUCUUUAAGCAAACGAUCUCCUCCCCCAGCAUUGACCUCUAGCUUUGAUACUAGUUAUCGGAUUAUUAGCGCUAACCAUUAGUUUCAAAUGCACAACCUUUUAGAAAGAUGCAACUAAAUUACUUAAAAUAUAUAGACACAAUGCCAAGGAUUAAAGUGUCGUGGCAUGGAGGCGUGCCGAUUGCCGCCUGGCACGGUACAGCACAGGCAUGCCUCCAUGCCGAUAGCAUGCUGAUAAAUACGCAUAUCCUCCUAGUAAUACGUUUUGACAUAAUUUUUUUUAAAUUUUCAAUAAUUCUUAUAAUAUUAUUUUGAAAGAUUUAGCAAAAUAAUUAUAAAUAUUGGCUUUGUAUAGUUUACUACACUCAGCAUUUAAUAUCGUAGUAGAUAUUUUAUAUAUGUAAAGUAAAAAAAUAUAACUUUAGUUUAUAGAGCAUAAAAAUAAAAAUUUGAUUAACGUUGAAAAUUUUUUGAUUUUACCUUUUUGAGAAAUUUAAAAACUAACUAGAUAAAAUUAUUUUUUCUUAAAGUUUUUACGGAAUUUGCAAGAUUCAAUAAUAUUGAUUCGAUGAGAGACCGCAUGAUAACUAAAUUAACUAGAAUAACACUACAAUUGCUCUAGUAAAUUUUGUUUUUUGAAUCUAUUAAAAAUAUUUAUUAAAAUUUUGAAUUUUUUUUUUAAUUUUGUUUAAAAAAAUUAUGAGAUCUAUCAAUAAAAAUUUACUAAUAAAUCAUAUGAAAAAUAAUUAAGCAAAUUCAAAUAUCAAUUAUUUCAAUUAAUUUUUUUUAUUUUAUUAAUAUUUUUCAUCUUCUAAAUCUAAAAUUAGAAUUCUUAAAAUUUAAAAAAAAAUUGUCGUAAAUCUCAUAUCCAAUGCUAGAUUUAUUCAAAAUAAUUAAAAAUCGAACUACAUAAUAACUUAAUCAAAAAAAUCUAUUUUUAAAAUUUUAUAAACUACAAAUAAAAUUUUGCAUAUUUUAAAUUUCUAUAAAACAGAAACUUUAUAAGUUAGAAAUAUUCAAAAUGUAUGAAUAAAUUUUAAAAUUAUAAAUUUUUUAUUUAUUUAAUAGAUACAUUUUCGACUUACUAUUUCUUUUUCUUUUCUCUCAAGAUUGAAGUGAUCAAAAUAGAAAUAAAUUAAAAAUAGAAGAAAUUGAAAGAAGAAAUUAGAAAAAAUAGCAAUAAGAAGAAAAGAUAGAAAAAAUGGAAAGAAAAAAAGAGAGGAAUAGAUUGUGAGAAGAAAAGAAAAAAACUAAAAGAGUAAGUUGAGGGAACGAAAAGGUAGAAGAGAAUGAGAUAGAGAGAUGCGUAUAGGGAAAAAAAAUAUCAAAAUAAGUGCCAAGCAAAAAAAAAAAGAAAAAAGGUUAAAACUUAAAAUGUUGUGUGCCUAUAUAAGCACGCAACGACAACGUGCCGCGAUAUCCUUUGGGUCUCAUGCUGUCUCGCACGAUACCCUUUGGGUAUCACGGCACGGUAGAUCCAAGAGAGAACCCUCCAUGCAUUGUGCCUCUUAAUUAGUGGCACGAUAUGUACGUAUCAUUCCAUGUUGAUCGGCACGCUAGAUUCUUUAAAUUUUGCACAGCACACAUCGAAUAUGACUCGGGCCAGUCGACCUCUUGUCAUUUCGAACAUGACUCGACACAAAAUAUCCUCUUGCCAUGAGGUAGGAUGCUAACUCCAUUAAGCCAACCGUUAUUUUCAUAAUUAUGAUGAUAUUUCUCUUGUAAAGAUUGUCCAAGAUCAUGGGGAACUAACUGAUUUUUUGUAUACUAAUUUUAGUCUACUUGGUAUCAAAGUUAUUGAUUGUUGGGCAAACUAAGAGUUUUCUUUUUUCCUCUUUUAAAACAUAAUUUUUAUGUUUUGGUUUUGCUAAUGGGGUCCAUGAUAUUAGUUGUCCAAUUUUUAAUUGCCAAAUAGUGUGCCUAUGUGUGCGUUUUUUUUUUUAAUCUAUAAUGCAUGUAAAAUGACCUACUAAAAAGCUCACUUUAAUAUUCUUAACAAUCUGAUUUUUUUUUCUAUGAAGGAAAGUUUGCGUUACAUUGUCAAUAAUUGUGACAAAUCAAAUCAAUUAAGCAAUCCACUAUAUAAAAUCUUUCUACAUAGCAUCCAACAUAUUAUACAUUUUCCUAUGAUUAUAUUUACUAAUUAUACUCACAUAAAUGUACUUUGUUGUCAUGUAUCUUUGUGUCUCCUCAUUUGUCUCAUUCUUGUAGACAAAUUAGCAUUAAUGCAACCAAUUGUGAACAACUGAUGUUUUUGUCUUGUCUGAGGUUGUAUAGUGUGCUUAGCUGUAAUGUACCUAAAGUUAGUUGAUGUUUUCUUUUUUCUUUUUCUUUCUUUUUUUUGAAAAAAAAAAGUAUGGAGACUCUAAAACAUUUAAACUUUUUAAUUUGACAAAGAGAUCCCUUAAACUUUAUCAAACAAUUCAAUAGACAACUCUUCUCAAGUAAACUUACUAACUACAAAAACCGUUUUGAUUGUUUAUCGUGUACAUAAUUCUGUAAAACUCAAAAUAUAGAGAAAUUUAUUUCCUCUCUUCCAAUUUUGAUAAUUAAGCAUCACUAUCAAAGAAUAAGUUGAACGGAAAUUUUUUUUUUCUUUUGCUUUUCUUAUAUGUUAGAACACAAAAAAUAAUUUUUUUUUUUGGGUGUUUUGAAGCUUUUAUAAAACUAUAUACGAUAUAUAAGACUAAAAUGAUUGUAUAAUUAACAACUUUAAUUAAAGAGAUGAACCUAUUGAACUAUUUGAUAAAGCGUAAGAAGAUUUUUUGCCAAAAUUUAAAGUUUAGACCCGUGCUUACAAAUGAGAUAAAGUUCAAACGUCUCCAUACAUUUUAUCCUUUUUUCUUGGCUAAAUUAUGAAGAGAAAUGCUACUGGUACAACCCAAAGUGAAGUGUACACUUUACACCUAUACCAUCCAAAAGUUAUUAAUUUUUUAGUUGUCACAUCAAUUUUUUAUGAUUUUGCUAAAAAUUAUUUGGAUUUUUAUCAACCCUAAAAUGGGACGGGGGGGGUGUAAGAUAUAUAUACACCCGUUCUUUUUUGGGUGUAUAAGAAUCAUUUUUCAAUUACAACAAGCCUGUUUACACUUUAGCUCCGGCCUUAAUUACCUCCUGCAUUAAAAAAUGGAUCAAUUAGCAGUCUGUACUUUAUCAUUCUCUCAAAAAAAUCAAAGAAAUUUGAAAAAUUGGCAAAUCAGGCUGUAAACCUUCACUAAAAUGAGAUAGCAUAUCACAUUGUUCAACAUCUCAAGAUAUAUUCAAUUUGCAACUCAAAAUAUUAAACAAAUCAAAUAAAGGAGAUCUCCUAUUUUAGUAAUACUAUCAAAAUUGAUAGCUUAUUGAAGAAUUUAUUUAAUUCUUAUGAUUCUAUUGCAUUAUUUACAGAUAAUUUUAAACUACAAAUUUAUUUUUAUAAAGUUUUUAUACUUAAAUUCAACAAUUAUCCGAAAUAGCUAGAUCUACUUGAGAUAAUGAUAAAGUGUAAGAGAUAAUUGAUGUUUUCCUUUUAUGGUGGGGGUAAUUUAGAAGCCAUUUGCCAUCACAUCAUUUAGUAGCAAUUGCCAAAUAACAAUUUAAGCCUGUGACAGUUGGUAUCAGAGCGAGUUCGGAGCUGAGAAAUCAUGUCUACCUCGGAUGUUGUCGUCGUUGAUGUUGUGCCUGAACCAAAAGGAGGCAAGUGCAGCAAGAGCAAGGCACCACGGACUCUAGCGAGAGAGUCUGCCUCGCUUGAAGAUUGCAUGAGGCUGCUAAAGGAUUUCGUUGCCAAAGUUGACGAGCAUUGCUUUGUCCUGACCUGUCAUGUGGGGAUGAUAGAGGACAGGUUGCAUGUCAUGGAGAACAGCGUUGCAGCUACCAUGACAACUUUCUGUGAGCAGCUCGAGCAGCUCUGCCAUGACCUUAUCUGUUGUGACGACGAUAAGAAGCGCUGAUCGAGGAGAUCAUCGCUUGCAGCGACGAGGUUGACUACCUCAAGAUGAGGGUGGCGAUCCUCAAAAAAGCGAUGGCUCGUGGCAUUGAGACGCAUAAAGAGUACACCCCAAAGAUCCGCAUCCCUAAACCCUAAUGCUUCAAGCGCACACGUCAUGAGAAGGAAAUUGACUAUUUCUUAUGGCACAUGGAGCGCUACCUCAAAGCAUCGCGGUUGGAGGACAAGGAUGACAAGGUCCAAACUGCUUCCAUGUAUCUCGCCAAUGACGCGAUGCUAUGGUGGCAGCAGCGUUCUGCAGAGGCCGCGAAGAGCUAAUGCAAGCCGAAAAUUUGGAAAGACUUCAUGUCGAGCUAAAAGCAUAGUUCUAUCCCAAGCACAUUGAGUACCUGGCGCGGAGGCAGCUUCAAUGACUCAAGCAUAUGAGGUCCCUCAAGGAGUACUCCAAGCUGAUGCUUACCAUAGCUAGAAUGGCUGAGGAGGACAGGCUAUUCUUCUUCCUCAACGGUCUCCAACCAUGAGCUAACAAAGAGCUCUUGGUGAGGGACAUGAAGGAUGUGAGCUUCGCUAUUACCUUGCCGGAGAAACUGCCAAAGUACGAGAAGUGGGACUUUACUUGUGGCAAGCCACACUACAACAGAAUUAGGUUAUAGGGACACAUGUUUGGGACACUUUUGAGUAAGUGUCCCAUUUAUGCUAAAGUUUAAAAAAAUAUCUGCUAAUGCCUAAAUAUAAAACCCAAUCCAACCAAAAAUAAAAGAUUGCUCUACUCAACCCACCACACCCAGUCCAUUUGGCCCGAUUACAAACAAAAAAGAAAAAAAAAGAAGAAAAAUCAAUUGCUAUUUUUUCUUCUCUCUUCACUCAAUCCACUGAAAUUCUAGACGAAGAGCCUUUCUUGUCGUCCUCCUCCGCUACCGCAGCCAACGAGAUAGAGUUUCGGCGGUUGCUAAAUGCUUAAAUAAGUGUUGGUAAAUUAGCAGCACUCUUUUAGGUUAUAGCGACACUCUUUAACUGUCACUAUAUACCUAGCGACCCCACAUAUAGCAACACUUUUUAGAAGUGUCGGUAAUUUUAGCUAGCAGCACUUUUUUGACAUGUACCUACAUUUAAAAGUGUCGCUAUAGGCCGUUUUUGUUGUAGUGCCACCUAAGGCUAUACAAUAUCCUAUGCAAAUAUGCAAUAUGCUAUGCAAAUAUACAAAAUUUUAAAAAAUAUAUAAAAUAUUUAAAGUUUUAGAGGAGUAAAUAUACAAUAUCCUAUACAAAUAUGAGUUCGGCUACUAUACUAUCGAUAGUUCCCAGCGCUUGAUACUAUCGAGUUUUCCGCUGUUAGAUCUGUCCCUCUGACCAUUUCCAUCCAUUAGAUCAUAUUAUUCAACCAACCACCCACUCAACCUUAAGUGACCACUAUCAUCGUAAUCACACAUUCCUUCAUCUAAGGGCUGAAAAUCUACAAGCACUCGAUAGUUUUAAUAGUAUAGUAGCCUAGUUCAUGCAAAUAUAACCUCAAAGAGAAGAAAUACUAAUUGUAGGAUUUACAAUUAAAAAUUAGUUACAGAUGUAGCUUGGCUUUAAAAAAAAUGAGCUAUGAGAAAAUACUCUCUGCUCUUGAAAAUGGUGCACAACUAAAAAAACGAGCGAAUGUAUUAGUAUAUUUUCUACACCACAUGCUUCUUUAAAAUUCUAUAAGAAAAUUUUCUCACAUCUAAAAUUUAGAAUUAUGUUACUAUACUAUAAACAGUAUUAAGCACUUGGUACUGUUAGAUCUUCGGUCUUUGGAUGAAGAGAUGUGUAGUUAGAAUAAUAGUAGUCCCCGGUUAGAAUGAUAGUAGUCUUCUAGGAAUGAGUAGGUAAUUGGUCGAAUAAUAUGAUCUAAUGAGUAGAAAUGGCCAAAGAGAUAAAUCUAAUGGUGGCAAACUCAAUAGCACCAAGCGCUGGCACUGUCGAUAAUAUAGUAGCCGAACACCUAAAAUUUAACAUAUUGAAUUAUGUUAUGUUAUAUUUAAAGCGUAUAAUUCGUGAAAAUCAUAAAUUUUGAACAUUUAUUUUUCUUACAAUAUUAAAUAAUAACAUAUUUUAUGAGGAAUUGAUUUUUUAAAGCGACCUACAUGCCUAGCAAAUAAGUUUCAAAUAAAAAUAAUUUUUAUCUAAAGUCCCUUUUAAAAAUGUUGGUUUUCGGCUUGAAUAAAAAGUCGCUACUAAAUUUGAAGGUUCGAUAACAUUGCGCUAACCCCCUCAAUUAUAGGCUAUUUAGAUUUAAUCAACCCAUUUUGGUUUUUAAUAUUAAGAGUGACAAGCUCCAAAUAAAUUUAAAAAUUUAUCAAAUUGUGUCGAUUAUCUUAAUCAAAUUUAAAAAUGAUAAUUUAUUAGUAAAUAAAGCAACAACAAUUAACUAUUAAUAAAUGAUAAAACAUUAAAUUUAAUAAAAUUUUAACAAAACUAAUUAAAAUAACUCAAUUUUUUAUUUAAAAAAAGUUACAAGUAGAAAAAAUAUCAAUAAUUAAAAGUAAAAGUAAAAACUAAAGGGAUUUAUUUUACAAUGGCCUAUAGUUGAGGGAGUCUUAAUAUAAUUUUCAUCAAGUCAGAUAUUGAAUAACAUUUUCGUGACUAUCUCCUAUUUUUCUUUCAUUAUUUUCCUCAUUUAAUAGAUAAUAAUACGGUGGUUAAUUAUGUGGUUCGUUAAACUUUCAUUUACUAAAUAAAUAAAUAUAAUUAAAUUAAGUGACAUAAUAUUGUCGAGCUUUUAAAUUAAAAUUUUUAAGUGGCUUCUUUAUAGGAUCCAGACUCAAUUUUGUAGAUUAUAUAUGCAAGGUUAAAUUUUUAUAUUAAAAUGAUAAAGAUAUAUAUAAAGCUUAUCUAAACUAUCACCCUUCUGUAUUCGAAUAUCUAAUAUUUAAAAUUUUUUAUUUUACUAACUGUCAUUUUAGUUUAUUUGAUUUGAGUCAAUUAGUAACUUUUUAACUAUAAGGCUUCAAAAUCUUGUUUAUAUUUAUAGAUUUAGUUAUUAUGUUUUAUACUGUUUACGUAAUUGUAAAUUUACUAAAAUAAGCAAUAAGCUUAAAUUUAUAUUCAAAAAAUUAUUAAAUUAUUUAAAUCAAAUAAAUGUAAGAUUGGAUACUAAAUUAAAAAUUAAAAAAAUUUGGUAGUCGAAUUAAAAUUAUCUGUAACUCGGAUAAAUUUUAUAUAUUUUAACAUGUUAAAAACUUAAAAUAUUAAUCAUCGAAUAUUAGCUGGGGCGCACACAAAAAUUUUUAUUCAUUAGAGUCCACUGNUCAAAUAAGUGUAAGAUUGGGUACUAAAUUAAAAAUUAAAAAAAUUGGGUAGUCGAAUUAAAAUUAUCUGUAACUCGGAUAAAGUUUAUAUAUUUUAACAUGUUAAAAACUUAAAAAAUUAAUCAUCGAAUAUUAGCUGGGGCGCACACAAAAAUUUCUUCAUUAGAGUCCAGUGGACCAGGUCCAGGAAACAAGCUCUCCCUCUCUCCCGAGCUCCCACGUGUCGACCCGGUCCCACGUGCGAGCGCCCUCCACCGAGUCGCCACGUGUCGCCCUCUCGUCUCCGUCGCGUCCCCGCCGUGUCGACUCCCGCGCCGUCCCCGCACCCCGAACGGGCCUCCGCAGGUCAUUUAACCCGUACUCCCCCACUAACCCCUUUCUAAAAUCAACUACUAAUUAAUGUAACUCUUUCCCUCUAUAUAGUAAUAGUAAAACUAAAAUUAUAAUAAAAUAAAAAAAAAAUAUAAAAAUAUAAAAAUAUAAAAAUCCUACCCUCCGUCUCAAGUGUCGACCGACGUCGAAGGGUUCGCGUUAUUAUUCCUCCCCCAAUUCGUCCCCGACGACGAAUCUCGCGCAUAAACCUCCUCCUCCUCCUCAUCCUCCUCCUCCUCCUNUGCCAUGCAUAUAUCUGCACCAAGAUAUGGAAAACAUAGCUAUGAUGCUCCAUCUCCUAAUUUUAAUUGGGUCAACUAAUGCAUAUAUAUAUAUAUAUAUAUAUAUAUAUAUAUAUAUCCGCCGGUAUCAGAUCCCCUCCUCCACCGUCGCCAACGAUCCCCGCUCCGGCGUCGGCGAGGUGGAGGGGUUCCAGCGCCACGUCGCGGAGCUCCUCCUCGACCUCGCCGGGGACGACGUCCUCUCGCUCUCGUGGGCGCGGAAGCUCCUCGACGUGUUCCUCAUCUGCUUGGAGGAGUUCCGCGUCCUCCUCUUCAACAGCGGCGCCCAGGCGACGCCGCCGCCGCCGCCGCUGGAUCGGCUCCUCGCGGACUUCUUCGACCGCGCGGUGAAGGCGCUCGACGUGUGCAACGCCGUGCGCGACGGCGUGGACCAGAUCCGAGAGUAGCAGAAGCUCCUCGACAUCGUCCUCGUCGCCCUCGCCGCGGCGUCGGCGCCGCCGGAGGCGGAGCGGGGCCCGAUCGGCGAGGGCCCGAUCCGCCGCGCGCGCAAGGCGGUCACGGAUCUCACCAUCCUGAUGCUCGACGAGAAGGAGGCGGGGUCGUCCGUCUCGAUCCUCGGCGGCCACCGCAACCGAUCCUUCGGCCGCAGCAACAACAGGGAUCACCACCAUCACCACCACCAGGGUGGCCAGCACCGCCGCAGCAGCAGCAGCGGCAGCAGCGGCAGCGGCAGCGGCGGCCACUACCGCUCCCUCUCGUGGAGCGUCUCGCGCUCGUGGUCCGCGGCGCGGCAGCUGCAGGCCAUCGGCGGCGGCCUCGCGGCGCCGCGGGCGGGCGACGUCGCCGCCACCGGCGGCCUCGCCGCCGCGGUGUUCGCGAUGAGCGCCGUGCUCUUCUUCACCAUGUGGGCGCUGGUGGCCGCGAUCCCGUGCCAGGACCGCGGCCUGCAGACGCACUUCUCGGCGCCGCCGCGCGGGUUCCCGUGGGCGGGGCCGCUGCUUGCGCUGCAGGAGCGGAUCGUGGAGGAGUCGAAGCGGAAGGACCGGAAGCACUCGGCCGGCCUUCUGAAAGAGAUCUACCAGAUCGAGCGGUGCUCGCGGCAGCUGGUGGAGAUCACGGACGCCGUCCAUUUCCCCAUGGACGCGGAGAGGGAGGCGGAGGUGAGGGAGGCGGUGGGCGAGAUCGCGCACGUGUGCGAGGCCCUAAAGGAAGAGCUGGACCCGCUCGAGCGCCAGGUGAGGGAGGUGUUCCAUCGCAUCGUCCGCAGCCGGACCGAGGGCCUUGAUUGCUUAAGUAGGCCGCACAAUCCUGAGUAGAGAAUGAAACAUUACUGAUGGGGUUUGAACGGAGAGGCGUCAAUGGUGCACAAUUUGCUGGUAUUCAAUGUGGAUUCAUUCAAGUUCUUCUUGGAUUUCGGAUCUGAUGCUUAUUUUGAGCUAAGAAUUGGAAGAGGAAGGAAGGAGAUGAAGGAAGAAACAGAGGGCGUAUCCUUCCCGGAUAAGGGUUAGAGACUUUUAACUCUUUUGUAUUUACUUGAUUGUUGCAUAAAUGUUGUGAAAAGAUGAUUGGAUUUUUCUGAAUUGCGGUUAUGGCCAUCGGCUGCCUAGAGUAUUCACUGUAUAAUUCUUCAACUUUUGUGUUGUUGUGAAUCACGGAUGUAGUGGAUUGCCGGAAUAUAGUUUUAUUGUUUUCUGAUGUUACUGUCCUUCCUUCUGUGAAUUUUUAUUUCAGAGAGUAAAUGUAUAAGAAAUUUUGCCGAAACUGAAUUAGGGAUGAGAUGCAGUUGUUGUCUUUAUACCCAGUAUCUGAUUGAUGGGCUGAGUCGGGAAAUGAUUCAAUUGUUCUUCAACUUCGUGUUGUGAGUUUCGCUCGAAGUGUAUGAAAAAUGAGAUUCAGGGUUAGUAUUGUUACCGAUGCUUCUUUGCUACAUGUGGUGAUGGGUGAGCUGCAUUGGGAAACAUGUUUGUUUAGGCAUCACAACCAAUUGCAGUGGUUCUGUAUUAUUUGUCUGUUGUUCUCAGAUAUCAAGAAAACUCUCUCAUCUAUUGUGAAAAGGUUUUUCUCUUUCUGUGACCUCAUUAGUUGUUUAGUUGUGAAAUAUCUAUUAGCACAGAUUCCCAUUAUGAAUCUUUCCAUAAUUUGGUUUAAAAGCCUUAUUUGACAAUCUAAUGUAGGGGAUGAUAGUACUUGGAAGUUGAAUAAAUAGUAAAUUACCGAGAGUUUUAUUCUGGCUUUCUCUGUGAAACUUUAUCUUACAGUGCGAAACAAUAAUAUUCUUUUAUCUGUCAUUUGUUGCUCUUAUCUAGACCUUCAAAAAUGUUGUGUCCAGUUGCCUCUCUGCACAGUAGCAUACUGAAGACAAAAGUCUCCUGUUAGGCAAAGUCAAGAAAUCAGCAAAUUCCUCAAAAGCCACGGGUUUGUUUAAUUUAAGGAUGAAAGAUAAGUAGUAGAGGCGGCAAUAUAUUGCUAUAUUGGGAACACUAAAGCGAUAUUGACGAAGUGAAGGACUUACCAAAUGAUCAUUUAACUAAUUGGAAAGAAGAUGUCAAUAUUCAUGGGCAAUUUACCUGUUCAGGAAAGUUAUUGAGAGUAGUUAUACCUAUGUGAAUGAAAUGUUUACAAGUGAUUAAAUAAUCUGCAAAGUAGAUGGUGAUUUUCUUAACUUUUGAUGACCGCACGAUGCUGUCAUAGUAGCCGCUGAGGUGUGAUAAGCAUAGCUACCCUUUUGUUUGAGAUGGACAAGCUUAUUGCAUGAAAAUGAAUUUUAUUGGCAACAAUUGUCAUCGUCAUCAUUAUUAUGUUGUUCCUUCCGAAGUGUGGAUUGAUCUCCAGGGUAUAUGUAGAUGGCAAAUAACAUUCCAUUAGUUACUUUCGCUUUCUGAAAAUUUAACUUCUAUUCAUGCCCUUAAAAUUUGUUUCUAGGAAGUUUUAGGUCUCCUGUACUUAAAAUACAGGCAAUUUUUGAUCAAUUGCGAAUCUUCUUUAUUAUAUCAUUGUCAUUUAGGUGAGUUUGAACAUGUAAAUAUUGUUAUAGUGAUCCUAUGGUGUCUAGAGAUGUAAGUUCCGGGAAAGUAGUGAAAUUUGUCGACUGCACAUGGUAUCAUCAUCAUAUGUAUAAUUCUUCUUGCACCUGUAAUAAUACAACUUCUUCGCUUAAUUGCUUUAUAGUGAUUGAACUUCUGUACUCUUAUUGCUCCUCUAGUGCCUCUAUUUCUUUCUUCGUCACAGUUUGUCGUUAAACUCUUCACCAGUUGUUUUCUCUUCACCAGCCUCGAGUAAAUCUAUUAUGUUUCGACAACUCUGGUAGUGUGCAUUAAGAGGUUACAAUACAUAAUUUGCAUUAUUUGCAUUCCAGGAUGUGGAAAUGUUGUUAAUCCUUCGAUGGUACUUUGACAUUCUGUGAACAGUAGUAGGGAUAUCAAUAGGACAAGUUCAGUUUAUAUUUUACCAGAAGUGAAACCUGUAAACAAACCAGACCCCGAAUCAAACGGUUUUGAAAAUGUUGCAGUAGUUGAUGAUACUUAUAGUGGUUGCUGAUGUUACUUGACCUUGGUCAAAAGAUUAUAUAUCAUUAUGGAUAUAUGUACAAGGGAUUUUGCUGAGUGUGAGUGAACAAUGAGAUGCAGUGUUAGAAUUGUUACUGAUGCUUAUUUGGUUGAGUUGGGAGAUAUGUUUGAUUCUGCACUACAAAUGAGUAAUAAUUGUUCUGUAUUGUUAGACCUUGUUUGGUAUUGGUAGUUUUGCCAGUAUUUUGUUUUUCAAAACACAAAUUCUAUGCAAUGGAUUGUGUGGAAAAUCGGUGGAGUACUUUCAGUUUAUACAUCUACAGUGUUUGGCCAGAUUGCUUUGCAAUCUAGCUAAUGAUGACAAUGGUAGGAAGGUCCAUCUGCUGGCACAUUCAACUGCAUAGAAUUUUUCGUUAUGAAAAGGAAAAAUACACAAUAAUACCAAACAAGGCUUAGUCUGCUUCUUCCCAAUAGUAGGAAAGUCCAUCCAUUAGCACAAAUUUCAUUCCGAAUCUUGCCGUAAUUCUGGUUGAGCAUGCAGAAAACUCAUAUCACAAUCUUAUGGAGGGGAUGACGGUGGACUCAUUUGAUGUCAAAUGUAUCUUACAUUAGAUAGCAAUGUGAUGCAAAAAAGAAAAGCAGGAAUGUUGCCUAUUUGCUUUUCAAUUCGGCUUUCUCCAAACUUUUGCUUUGAACCAUGGGUUGUACUUUUAUUUUCUAGACCUUCUAAACUCUAUGAAUUGGCUUCUGCGCAUUACAGAGGCAGGAGAUUUGAACAGUUCUUUUUAAGUAGAAGUGUGAUCAAUUCGACGGAUGUUCUCAAGAGAAGGUAUUGCUGAAUUAGGAGCAUUGAGGAUAAAUUUGAUAAUAAUUCUUUAAAUUAUUGAAAGAGAGAUGUCGAUAUUUAUGGGAAUUUUACAUAUGGGUUACAUCUAGUUAUUGAAACUUGUAAAGAUUUGUAUGAAUGUAUAUUUACAAGUGAUCGAGUAAUCUUCAGGCUAUUAGUGGAUUUGUUUCUCUGAUUUCUGUGUAUAGAUAUGUUCUAACUGAUUUUGUUGAAAUAGCUAGUGAACUGAUUACUAUGACUACCAUUUUAUUUAUGAUAUACAUUGUUAUUCAAUACAUUUCUGAAUGCAUAAACAGGAGCUUUGUUGCGAACCCUUCUUCUCGUCGUCUUCGUCAUUGUGCUGUUCUUUUAGCAGUUAUUAGUUGGAACAAUGGAUUGAUCUCCUCAGUCAAUGUAACUUGUACUGUUAGUUGCCUUGUCCUUUGCAGAUUUUACUUUUAUUAUGAUGACAAUGAACCUCAUCCAUAUUUCCUAUUUAGCCUUUAAAGAUCUAUUUCCAGAAAGAUUCAAGUCCUCUUUAUAUAUGCCUAAGUGGGAUUUUGGAUUUGGUUUAGAGGCAGAUAUUGAUUGAUUACGAAUUCUUUUGUCCCCCUGUUUGGAUGCAUAAGCAUCUUAUUCCAUGUAGCUUUUUUACUUAAAAAAUUUGUAGUAUCUGGUAAAUGAAUAGCGCCAUCAAAGUUUAGAAUGGUGUAACAUAUUAGGAUUUCACAUCAUUUUCUCGCAAUGAGAUAAAUCAUCUUGUAGGUAAAAUGUACUUGAAGUAGGCUGGAAUGCUCUCAAUAGCAUCAAGUUCUUGGUGCUAUUAAGUUUUUGGUCCUUGGAUAAAGAAAUGUACGGUUAGCAUGAUGUGGGUCCCCUAGUGUUGAGUGAGUUGUUGGUUGAAUAGUAUAAUCUAACGGAUGGAAAUAAUUAAAUAAUUAAAUUUAACAGCGGAAAACUCGAUAGCACUAAGUGCUUGGUGCUAUCGAUAGUAUCCCAACCAAAUUCAAUAUACUUUCCUAUCAAAUCAUAAAUGCCUAGAUGCUAAGAUCUUUCAACAAGCAAAAAACAAACUUCUUUCUGUAUAUCAUAUAAGAAAAUUUUUAUUUGGAAUUAGUUAUCAUUAGAUUACUUAUUUGAACAUCUAAUCAUGUUUUAAUUAUUAUAAUACAUAAUUUGACGUUUGUUCAAUCUACGAGGCAUUCUCUCCUUUGUUCUCUUCACGUAGUUGGCUCUAUCUCCCUUUCCUGUUUUCCCUCUCCAGAUACGUUUCUCUCUCCUAUUUUCUCUUUCUCUCCUUCUGUCUCUCUCUAUCAUAUCUUAUAAGAUCUCAUAAUAAUCUCAUAUUCCUCUCUCUUCUAGGUAAUUAUUAUGCUCUCAGGGCUCUAACUCUCAUUCGUACAACUCUCUUUUUCUUUUUUGAUCUUUCUAUCGUAUCAUAUAUCAUAUAUUAUAGAAUCUUACAAAAUCUUCUAAAAAUUUUUAUAAUUUUUUUUCUCUAUCAAAAUAAUAAAAUUCUUUUAAUUUUUCUCCCAUCUCUUUCUUCCAAUCGUAUCUCCAUUUUUUUUCUCUAUCAAAACAAUAAAAUUCUUUUAAUUUUUCUCCCAUCUUUUUCUUCCAAUCUUAUCUCCUUUUUUUCUCUCCUCCUUUUUACCUUAUCCACCUCUCUCUCUCUCUCUCCUCCUAUGCCUCUCUCUCUCCCUCUCUCCUUUCGUGUUCGCUUGGCCGAUUAGAGAUCUCAGAGCAAUAGCGUAAAGGAGAAUCUUUUUCUCCAAUUGCUUUGUCAACUGAUUGGAGAUUUCAGAGUAAUAGUAUAAAUGGAGAAGGUGAUCGUGAAUUAAGGCUUUGGAUUAUCUUUAAUCCAUCACAAAGGUUCAAUUCCUGAUUGGGAUUUUUGAUCCUAUAUUUAUAGUGUUUAUACUCGACUUUUUAUUUUUUUUUUGUUCAUAAUAUUUGCCUUUUUCUUUUUUUGUAAAUUGGUAGGAGUCGCGUGCAAAGGGGUGGUGAAGGAGGUCCGAGAGGGAAAAGAGGAGGGGUAGCUAUGGAAUUGAUUUGAAAGAAUAGUUUUAACAUUUUGUGUUGUAUGAAACAUUGACAUGAGUAAAUUUCUUAUAAUAUUUAUAUAUAAAUACUCUAAUGAGUAUUUUGGAUGUGUUUUUUUAACUGCUGCAAAGCAUUGGCCCUAUAUAUUGCACUAAUUUAGAGACCACGAAGACCUUGUUUUAGUAGUCUCUAUAGAUGUAAAUUCAUAUAAUACUCUCUCCCUCGAUCGAUUGAAUUAUUGAGCAAUAAGACCCACCAUCUUUUUGAAUGAUUUCCUUUAUACUAGUACAAGUAGUUUUAUUGACUAGUGUUGCCAUGUGGUGUGCUUAUAUUGGCCCGUUCAAAUUCAACUCAAUCGGCAUAAGAUGUGGAUUGAGAUUUAUCCUAAUAAGUUAAGGAUAAAGAUGAAUUAUAUGUUUCCUUUUAGUUAAAAAAUAAAUCUCCUAAUGAAUAUCUUAAUAGAUAUUCUAAUCUUAAUCUCUAUAUAAAAAUCAUGACAUUUUAAGGGUUCUGAUAAUCUAUAAAUAUAAUCAAUAUAUUUCGAAUUUUGUAUCCGAUAAUCUAAAAGAACGUACGAAAUAAUUGACUUUCCUGCUUCUUUUCUCCACAUUUUUUCUGAGAUUUCCGCCGACGUUCUUAGGAUUUUUGACUGUGGAUAUAGAAGAGGACUUUGUAGCACUCUUCGUAUCCGACAACUUGCGAUGCAUGGAAGAAGGUGAGAUACAUUAGUUGUGUUUUUUUCUUUCUACUUCAUGCAUUUUUAAAGAAAAAAAAAAUUACAUGCACUUCUUUUUUAUUUUUUUGCUUUGUGCAUCAACACACACACACAAAGACCUCUGCAAGGCGGACCAGCCUGCAGGCCUGCAGCAGGCCUGCAGGCCUGGCCCGGCUACAGCCGAUGAUGGGGCCCAGCCUAGCUGCAGCAGUCUGUAGGCCUGGCCCGCCCGAUACCGGGCUCAGUGGCCCGGCUAGGCAGUAGCUGGCAUGCGGACCUGGUGCCUGGGCCCGGCCCGACCGCAGCACGUAUGCUGGCUCGACCCGCCCCGCAGUGGGCUUGCCGGCCGCCUGGGCCUGCGCGAGGCCCUCUCUUCGUUUUUUUGAUUUUUUUGGUUUGCUUAUUUAAAAAAAUAAAAAAUAUUCCUAUGUGUUAAUUUUUUUUGUGGAUAUCAUAGUUUUUUUUUUUUCUCUUUUUAUGGGAUACACAACAAUACACCAAAAAAAAAUCUUUUUUUUUUUUUAUGUUCUUGCGGGACAUUCUUUUAUGCUUGUAUAUCAGGCGUGUGUUGUUUGUUUUAUUUAUCCUAUGUGGGUGCAAAUGUUGAUGUUUAUGUAGCAUAUUGUGAUUGAAUGAUUGCGUGAAAUUUUUUUGGCACAUAAAUAUUUGUAUUCUUUUGAUGUUUUCAACAAAAUUUAAUUUUGAAAAAAACGGAUUCGACGUGUGCGGCAUUCCUUUAAAACAAUUCUUUUUUCUGAUGUACAUUUCUAUAAUGAUGUGGUAGAUUUUAUUCUGCAAAAAUAUGUAAUAAUUAAGGCUAUAUAAAGUAAUAUGUUUUGCACGGCGCCAACAUUUUAAAAUUAAAUUUUGGUACAAAUGAUAUUAUGGAGAUAAGUUUUCAAAAUAUUUUUUUUUAUAAAAGAGAGAGAUGUGUUCUUUUAAUAUGGAUGAGUUUCAAUUUUUUGGAUAAGUUCCAAAAUUAAUAAAAAUAUAGUAAGAUUAUAAUAUUUUGAACCGCUACUGGACGAUGAUUACGAGCUUAGCAAAGUUUUCAAUUCUGUUGUAUUGGAGAAAUGUUUCAAUCUUGUUAUUUUUUUAAGAAAUGUAUCUAAUGUCCAAACCUGAUUUUAAAUGUAGUGAAAUUGCUUCCAAGAAUGUCAUAAAAGACCUCACCAGGGUGAUAAGCUAGGUAGAAAAAAUUAUGAGAUUUGAUAUAGAAAAAUAUAAUACCUCCUAAAUAAAUAAAGAGUUCUUGAAACUCUCUCUGUCAAAAAGUUCAUGCCUCCGGAAGGCACUACGACAGAGUAUAAAAGGAACGUCUAUAAUAAGUGGCUCAAAGAGGAUCGAACUACUCGGUACACUAUAUUGUGUGCGAUACAAGACAACCUCAUUGGACAAUUUGAGACCUACGAGACUACCAAGGACAUGUGGGAUAAUUUGAAGAUUAUUUUUGGGAAAAGUUCAACCAUGAGGUGACGCGCCUUAAUCUCAAGUUUCAAUUGUGUACUAAAAACCCAAAACACUCAAUGACUGAGCACCUUCGUGUGAUGGGCGCCAUGAUUGAAACCUCAAGGCUAUUGGAAACGAUCUCAAUGAUGAGCAAUAGAUUCUCUCGGUGAUUCAUUCACUGUCGGAUCCUGAAUGGUCCCAGAUAAAGCUCCUGAUAAUGCACAGCGAAAGUGUUAAAACAUUUAACAACAUCUCGUGCCAUCUUGAGUUCGAGGCAGAGCGGUUGGAAUCGAAAUGCUCUAUUGCUCUUGUUGCGCGCUCUAAGAGGUGCGGUAGGAUCACCCCGAAGCGCAAGAAGCAUCACAACAAUGAAGCGUAGAAGAGUCGAAAUCAAGCUCCUCAAGAUGGAGUUGGAAAGCACUACAGAGGCAAGCGUACUGACAAUAGGGAUGCCAUAAAGGUGAAGUGUUAUAACUGCAAAAAGAAUGGUCACUUCACUCAAAAUUGUCUGAGCCGAAAAAGGUAACUCUGCCACUCAACUCACACUGUUUUGUUUGCUCUUACACUUUAGUAGUUCAUUCUCUUCUCGAUUAGAUUGUAGAUACAGGAGGAAACGAACACGUAGUUUGUGACCGAUUAGGGUUCAUAGAUUACCAUCAAGUACCGACAGUCACAGAAUUUGUCACCCUUGGGAAUAGCACGAAAGAGGAAGUCCUUCGAGUUGGUGCGUACCAACUCAGAUUGCAUGGUGGCCGCACUUUACUAUCUAGGACGUGUUAUAUGUGCACUCGAAAUUCGAUGUAAUCUGUAUUCAGUUUUAAAUUUGCUAUAUUUAGGCUAUUCCUUUUAUUUUUAUUUUGAUUGAGACCGCCUUGUUAUUUUCUUUCAUGAUGCUUUAUUCGGAUAUAAUAUAUUAAUUGAUGGUUUCUUUAAAUUAGAUUUGGAGGAUAAUUUGUUUGCAUUUGCUUCGUUUUAUUUUAAUUUCUGUGAUGAAUUCAUUAAAUGGCAUGCUAGAUUAGGCCAUAUAUGUGACGCCCCAACAUCCCAGGGGGUCAUCCAUCCUAGGACUACUCCCAUCCUAGCACGCUUAACUCUAUCUCUUGGAUCUAUCCACCGCCCAAAUUGAUUAAGCCAGAUUAUUAGUAAUAGGACAGAGUCCUCCUAUAUACCCAAUGACAAUUCCAUUCAACUCUAUUUUCAUCUAAUGUGGGACUAUUGGGGUGCCACAAGACUCCCUCGUUUAGGCCCUAAUGUCCUCGUCAGCCCUUAACACACACAGCCGACGAUCACCGGGCGAUGUGAGACUCGUUUCACUAACCUUGUCAUUCUAACCCUGACUUAGCCUGUCAUUCACCGACCCUGUCUUAGUUUGUCAUUACGAUCCUACCUCAACCAAGGCUCAUCUCAUACUUCCGGUUGAUGAACCAGCUCGGAUACCAACUGUGACGUCCCAACAUCCCAGGAGGUCAUCCAUCCUAGGACUACUCUCGUCCUAGCAUGCUUAACUCUCUUAACCUUUUGGAUCUAGCCACUGCCCAAAAUGCUUAAACCGUGUUAUUAUUAAUAGGUGGAGUCCUUUUAUAUACCUAAUGAUAACCCUAUUCAACCUCACUUCCAUCCGAUGUGUGACUAUUGGGUUGUCAUAAUAUAGGUUAAGAAAAGAUGAAAAGACUAGCUCAAGAAGGUCUUUUGGGGUCUCUCGCCAAAGUUGACCUAUAUGUGUGCAAGUCUUGUCUGGUUAGGAAGACAUGUAGAAAGCCUUUUGGUAAGGCUACUUGUGCCAUUCAUUCUUUGGAGCUGAUCCAGUCAGAUAUUUGUUGGCCAAUGAAUGUGAGGGCAUGACAUGAUGCAUGGUAUUUUCUCAUAUUCAUUGAUGAAUAUUCUUGUUAUGGUAAUAUAUAUUUGCUUUCUCACUGAUCUGAAGUUUUAGAUUGCUUCAAGCGUUUCAUUGCGUGCUUUGCACUGAUCGAGAUCGUAAGUAUUUGUUCGAUCAGUUCAAUGCUUAUUAUGAGUAAAAGAGCAUUAAUAGACAGCUCACUAUUCCUAAUACUCCGCAAAAAAAAUUGUAUUGUAGAGUGAAGGAACCGUACUCUACUGUACAGGGUUAGGUCGAUGAUGGCGCAGGCUCAUCGACCCAUAAGUUUUUAGGGAGAUACUCUUUUGACUGCAGCUUACAUCCUUAAUUGAGUUCUUAAUAAAUUAAUGCCUUCUACCCUAUAUGAGUUAUGGAGUAGUAGAAAGCUGAGUUUUUACUACUUACGCUCUUGGGAUUCAGGUGGAUAUGUUAACAGCCCCUCACAUAGAUUUAGGAAACUCGGCCCUAGAGCAAACGAGUAUGUGCUAAUCAGGUAACCUAAAAACUUAAAAGGAUUAUGUGAUGUAUAGUGAACAACCAGAUGGUGGUGUGACCAAGAUAAAGUUUAGUGGUAUAGAUGUAAUGCUCCAAUAGUCCAACAUCGGAUGAAAAAAUAAUUCUGAUUAGAAUAUAUAAGGCCUACACGCUAGUAAUAAUAACUAGGCUUAAGCAUUUUGGGCUGGUGGUUUGGGCCCAACGAGUUAUUGUUGCUAGCGGGGUGGGUCAUUACAAUUGGUAUCAGAACCGAAUACCAGCCGGAAGUGUGAGAGUUAAGCGUUUUGCGGGAUAAAGUGCUACACUAACGGAUUUGGUGGGAGCCACCUCUUGAACCUAUAAGAGCGAUCUCUAGAAUCUCAUAUCACCUGGUAAUUCUGGUCUAUAUGUGUGUGAUGUGGUUUGGACCCGACGAGGAUAUUAGGGUCUAAAUAGGGAGAGUUUGUAAUACCCCAAUAGUCUCACAUCGGAUGAAAAACUAAUUAUGAUCAGAACAUAUGAGGCUUACACGCUAGUAAUAAUAACUAGGCUUAAGUAUUUUCGGCCAGUGGUUUGGACCCAACGAGUUAUUAUUGUUAGCGCGUCGGAUCUUUACAAUAGAAUUCCUAGAAAGGAAAUUUUCAAGCAUUGGUGAAAUGCAGAGAGAUGUUGGAUUGUAUAAGUUACAGGAUGACGCUACUAUAUCUGCUAUUGAGGGUGAUUGAUCACUUUUCGAAGUUGCAGACUGAAGUGUUAGCGAUCCCCCUGCUAGUUUGAGUGCUUCCAUAAGUGAGAGCAUACCCCGAAGCCGGUAAUUUGGGCCCUCAAUUGUGUAGAAGUGAACACGGACACAUUUUUCGUUGAUAUUUUGAGAUCGAAUGUGAUAUUUUUAUGUGCACUCCGCUCGAUGAUAAUGAUCCUGUUUCUUAUAAUGGAGCACUACAAAUGCUAGGUUGUAGUGAGUGGAUGGCUGCUAUGAGUGAUGAAAUGGACUCCAUGAGCAAUAACCAAGUAUGAGAGUUAGUUGACCUUCCACCUAGAUGCAAGUCUAUUGGAAAUAAAUGGAUUUUAAAAGCUAAGCGUAAGGCGGAUGAGUCAAUCGAUAAAUAUAAGACUCGACUCGUGGCCAAGGACUACACUCAAAGGGAAGAGAUAGAUUACAAUGAGACGUUUGUUCCCGUUGUGAGAUUUACCUAUAUACGUUUAAUUCUAGUCUUAAUAACACAUUUGGAUUUGGAAUUGUUCUAAAUGGAUGUCAAGAUAGAUUUCCCCAAUGAAGGAUUAGCGGAGGAAAUUUACAUGGAUCAACCUGAGGGUUUUGUACUCAAAGGUUAAGAAGAUAAGGUUUGUCGCUUUAGAAGAUUCAUUUAUGGUUUUAAGCAGUCGUCGAAGUAAUAGUAUUUAAUGUUUCAUAAAGCCAUCACCUCUAUAGAUAUGUCCAUGAUAGAGGAGAAUAUAUCAAGAAUAUGAAAAAGAGGAUUCUAUUCCUUUUCCUAUCCGUCAACGACAUAUUAUUGGCUGGAAAUAAUAUGAAGUUGAUUAAUACCACUAAGGAGUGGUUGAGAGAAAACUUUGAGAUGAAAGACAUCGAUGAGGCGAGCUAUAUGCUCGGAUGAAGGUCGUCAGAGAUUGUUCUACGAGACUUCUUGAUUUGUCUCAAGAAUAUUAUGCUAAAAAUAUUCUAGAGCGAUUUAGGAUGCAUCAUUGUAAACCAAUUGACACUCCAGCAGAGAAGGAUCACAUGUCGUGACCAAUGCCCUAAAACGGAUAAAGAAAAAGAGCAAAUGAGUAGGGUUCCUUAUGCAAGUGCAAUUGGCGGCUUGGUAUACGCUAUGAUAUGUAAUCGGCCUGACAUUUGCUUCAUUGUUGGUUUGGUAAGUCGUUACCAGAGCAACCCAAGAUCUAUUCAUUAGCGAGCGGUCAAGAGGAUCUUUCGAUAGUUAAAAGAGAACCAAUGACCUCGUUCUUUGCUUCUAAGCUGGAGACUUGAGAUUGAAAGGAUAUUGCGAUACUGAUUGGGCGAUGAUAAAGAUGAACACGGGUCCACUUCAAGCUAUAUAUAUAUUUAUGCUUAAAAAUGGAGCAAUUUUCUGGUGUAGUAAGAAGCAGAGCUAUAUUGCCUUGUCUACCAUGGAAGCGCAGUGCGUUGUUUGUUCAGCAAUCGUUCAAGAGGCUGUUUGGUUGAGGAGAUUUCUCGAGCGCCUUGACAUCAUGACUCGAGCAGAUGAGUCUGUUGAGAUGUUCUUUGACAGUAUGGCUAUCCUGAAGUAGGUGAAGGAUUCCAAGUAUCAUAGCAGGACAAAUCAUAUAGACAAGUUUUUACUAUAUUCAAAGACUAGAGGAGGUCACAUUUAGACAUAUCUCUACUACUAUGAUAGUGGCUGAUCUAUUGACCAAGCUGAUACCUGCGAAUAUGUUUCAGACCUAUAUUAGGAGUUUGGAUCUUCGCAAAUUAAUACUUUUGUAUUUUACGCUUUUUUAAUGAAAAUAUGUUUUUCUUUUUUAUAUAUUGCAUAAUUGAUACUAGUAGGCACAUGUUUCGUUAAGUCACCAAAGUCAGAUUAGCCCACUCAUACGAGUGAUCGUUUUGGCACCUAGGUGGUGAGCAGGAUGAGACUAGAUAACUCGUGUGAGUGGGAUAUUAUGAAGUGGAUGUCUGAUGCAACUAACUUAACGUGUAUCUCAGGGUUAUAAGAAAGUACGAUCUUGCGAAGCAUGUCUAGUAAAGUGCUUGGACCGAUAUAGAUUAGCGUGAGGGGCUGAGAUAGAUAUUUCGAUAACACACCAUGUAAGUCUUGUGACUCAUUGCUCGGGUUGUUAUCUCGGUUGCAUUACUUGAGAUAAUUAUGAGUACGAGAAAUUUAUCAUAGGGUCAUCAAGCCCUGUCAUUAGAGGAGAGGAAUUUGUGAUGCUUGAUUUGGUGUAUGUUAAAACGAAUAGGGCAUAGAGGGAUUUAGUUAGUGAUGUGUUAUAUUAGUUGGGUGAUAACUUAAUAUAGCACUCAUGCAUUGUGUUUCUUUUGUCAGGUUGCACGCUCCAUUACUAGUAUGAAGAGUAGAAUGUAUGAGAAAGGAUUGGCCAAUGUGGCCAAGUACGAGAUUGUUGCCAUGUGGUGUGUCUACGUUGGCCCGUUUAAAUUGAACCCGAUCAACAUAAUAUGUGGAUUGGAAUUUAUCCUAAUAAAUUAAGAAUAUGGAUAAAUUAUAUAUUUCUUAUUAGUUAAAAAAUAUAUCUCUUAGUGAAUAUCCUAACAGAUAUUCUAAUCCUAAUCUUUAUGUGAGAAUCAGGAUAUUUUAAGGGGUUCUAAUAAUCUAUUAAUAUGAUCCAUUUCUCCUGAAUUUUGUAUCUACGAGAAUCUACGGGAAUGCACGAGAUAAUUGACUUUCCUUCUUCUCUCUACAUUUUCUCUGGAAUUUCUACCUACGUUUCUGAAAUUUUAGAGUGUGGACAUAGAACAGAACUCUAGUAGCCCUCUUCAUAUCUGACAAUCUGCAGCAUAUAGGAAAAGGCGAGAAACGUAAGGCGAGAUACGUGAAAGGUCUAGAAGUAUCAAGAUAAGGACGAUCAAAGAAAGCUAGUAAAACAAGCUAACCUGAUCAGCUUUUGGCCUGGAUACAUUGGCUAUCCAGUUUGUAAGUUUCCGCUGCUCUCUUAUUCUAACAACUAGAAUAUUAUCAUUCUAUUCUUAAUCUGGUUUUUUAAUUUAAAUAGUUAUUCCAAGAACGCCGUAAUUUACAUAUAGUGCGUGCUUUUUUACCCAAAACAAAGAAGAAUCUUAAAAAAGCCCACCUAAGCCUUGUUUCAACUGUCAAUUAACUAGUUAUGUCUUUUGGCUUUAUACAAAUGUUGCAUACUGUGAAUUCACAAGUUGCUUCAAAUUCAGAACAAAAUGCUUUACUUAAUCUUAUAAUAAAACUCUACAAUUUAAUAAUUGGAUUUCAAUUUUGAAAUUAUAACUCGUGCUUAGUUCUUUAUGAUUUACACUUCUCUACCAAUUAAAUACCAUCACGUAUGCCAAUACAUAAGUAUUGUAAAAUUCAUUUGUAAACAUUACAUUACUCAAUCCACUGAUAACCAAAACCGAGGGAUGGGGCUGUUGAUGUAAGGGUUCACCGUAUUCGCGAAAGCAUGUAUUCGCAAAAGAGAGAAAGAAAGAAACAAACGAUACGCUUCAGGAAACCACCCUUCUGCCCCAGGUACAGAAGUGCUGCAAGAAAAAAGCAAUUCUAUUUCUGGAUUUAUAUACUCUGCCGUCUUUGUGACAUUUCCACUUUCACAUACAAUGGUUCAAUUCCUCAACACAUGAUGGAACCUUCGUGAGGAAACAUUCUAAUAUUAUUUCCUUGACAGCAAAAGUCACUUUUUUUCUGCAAGCUUCAUCAUGUAGCAUUUACAACACCUAAACAAAUCAGAGCAGAAUCAUUCACAACUCAAUCAUGUAGUAUUUACAACACAUAAACAAAUCGCACACGCAAUAACAGGCCACCCGAAGUGCGAGUAGAACUGUUCUGAGAAGCACAAUCAUUUCUUUCUUUUUCCCUAGAACUGCCAUAAUAAUUUCUCACUACGACAAAGCAGAAGUUCAGCGCUUCUGCUAUUUCGCACUCAUAAACUUAUUUCAGCUUUCUGCGACAGCAAAAAUCUCAAUUAUUUUUUGUUUAUAGUUAACUAGCUGUUGCUUUUCAAAGUAGAUAAGUUGGUUCGCCAAGAACAAGCAGGCACUAAAACGAAAUCAAUUUAUGCCUAAGAUUCAAAGAAAGCUAUCUUAACGAGACCAGAAAUGAUUGAAUGUUUUCGAUAUCCAAAGCGUGGUUUCAGUUUAAACACAAUUUGACAACUAAGAUGAGUUAAACCAGUUUCAAACUACCAGUGGUGGGCGCCCCCCUCACCUGGUUCUUUUCUAUUCACAAGCCAACUUGGUGUCGAAGCUGCUCAAACAAAUAGCAAAAGCCUGGAAUGCUGAGAGCGGGUAUCGGUAAUCCAUCGUGAACAUAUCCUUCGCGACCUUCCCGAACUGUAGAAUGACCUUAUCAUGGUCAGAAGAAGACGUCGCCGGCGGUGGGGGCACUGUGGCCGCCGCAGGCUGCUGAGUUGCGGCGAUGAGCUGAAAAUUCUUCACCGAUGCGACCGUUACCCGCCCUCGGAAGUUGAGGCACCAGCACUGCAGCUGCUCGUGCCACCGCGGCGGCUUGUUCUUGAGCACCAAGGGCUGGACUCCUUUUGCACCCUCCUCCUCGCCCCCAUCACGAGUUAGGGCUUCGCCGAUGAUGUCAGAGAACCGAGAGCUACUGAAGUCGAUCGAGCGGUCGGUGAUAGAGGAGGCAGUGCGGAAGGAAUCCUCCAACAGGCGGGGAAGGAGGCGGUCCGGCUGACUCGGGACGGAGCCGCCAGGCUCGAGGGCAGAGGCCGGGAUGGAGUGCAUAACACAGUGCAUUUUGCGGGGACCGCGGGUGCCGAGGACGUUCAGCUCAUAGGUCACCUGCGCAAUUGGGUACGUUCCCGUCGGGACUUUCGGGGACACUUUGGUGGAGAAUCGGCGGCUGGUUCGCCCGCUGGGUGGGCAGAGGGCGGCAGAGUUGGUGUAUGGAGGCUGGGUGUCAUAGAUUAUGAACUUGGUGCCGAGGAAAUUUGACCUGCAAAAAUGGGUGAACGAAUCUCAAACAUAAUUUGAUCACUCAAUCAAUAGGGAAAAUUGCAUUGUUGGUCCCCAAACUUAUUCAAGAGUUGUACUUUGGUCCCUGAUCUUUUGGAGCAGACAUGCGGUGCCCAGAUUUUCAAUUGUCGUCUCGAGUAAGUCAUUUCCAUCAUCUCCCAUUAAGUAAGCGACAUUGAAGCUGUGGUAACUACCACAUAUGCAUACCCCGAAGCCACAUAUGCACCCGAGGCGUUGACGUGGCUAGAAUAUAGGCAUAUCAUGAAGUCACCUAUGCACCAAAGGCCCAUACUCGAUUAGACAUAAUCUGAUGCAUCAGCUUAUGUGGCAUUCAUGGUAUGUGCUUUUGUUGUACGUGUGACCUCGAUAAACUUUGCUAUCACUUACAAAGAUUCGGAAAAAUUUGGAGUGUUGAGUGGCGACUUUAAAAGAUUGGGGACCAAAGUGAUGCUCUCCACCAAAAAAAAGUUCAGUGACCAAUAUAGCAACUUACCCAAUCAAUCCACCAAAAGAUCUCGUUUCCUUUAAAAUUGAAAUUUCCUUACCGUAGUUUUCCGAUAUACGUGCUGCUUGACUUUGAAAUAUUGUCCGCGUCCAUCGAAAUUAUGUAUUCCGUGCAGGUUGUCCGACGAUUCCUUUUAGCUGAUAGAAGGAACUUUCCACUCUCAACAAGCACGGCUGCUUCAUCAAAUUCGGUAACAAGUCGAUUUAGCAAAAUUUAAUGAAUAGAUCUACUAGCAACAAAGCUAAACUUCCAUUUAAAAGAAGUGGAUGCAGGAACCAACAUCUCAAAAGUGAAAACAUAUAAAAGGAAAAGCCCAAGGGCAAUAAUCCAUAAUAAUCCACUCAUAUUGUGUAAAGCAGGGACGAAAACAGUCGAAUAUGACCUGGUAUUUGACAAAAUUAUAUUCGCUUCCAUAUUUAAAGCAUGGAUAUGAUUCUUGGAUACAGAUAUUAAAUGGAUACUGGAUUUCAUAAUUAUAUUUGAUCAAAACAAAUUCGAAUACAAUUCGAAUUUGGGAUAAAUACAGAUAUGAAUCGAAUUUUCAUGCUUUCAAAUACCUGCAAUAAGAAAUUAUUAGGCAUUAGUUUAAAAAAAAAUAUUUUGGAUUUUAAAAUUUUUUAUUUAACAAGCUCUAUACAUGAUUAUCUUCCCUAUACAUUAAAAAUAAGCUGAUUGCUGGUAUUCGAAUCCAUAUCUGAAUCCAAAUCCUUAUGCGAAGAAAAAACUGAUUUCGAAAUAUUUUUUAUUGUUAUUGCUGAAUUCAAAUUCGAAUUCGAAUCCGACAGAACAGCCAAUUUUGGCAUCCAAAUAUAACUCUGACCGAAUUCAGUUUCGGAUUUGAUCACAUAAUAUCCUAACUAGCGAACAGGGUAUGCUGGAAAACUAGUAAAAGAAAACUGUGAUUUACAUCCAACGUCGAAGUUAACAGCUGGAAAGAAAACCAAACCUAUCUACUUAUCAACAAUAUUAACAAAUGACAUAUAGGAAGAAAAUUUCCAUGAUGGAAAAGGUAAAAAUCCAUAGAAGCAACAAUGGUCCCAUAUUUGAAGAAUCUGCAAAAAUUAUUAGAUUAAUAUGGACCACAUCCUAGCAGUAGUGCUUCCGCAUUGUAGACUUUGGUUAUAUAAGUGUUCCGUUAAAUUGCUAGUAAGAAUGGAUUAGUCAAACAUUACCAUAUGCAUGAGCAGGGUUAUUUCUAGCCGUUAAUCCAACAUACUUUGAACACAUAUUGUUUAAGCAGUCAAAUGUAUUAGUAUUAUAUUCCGCUAAUAAACAUCAAAUUAUCAAACCUGUGCCUAAAACUAGAAUGUGUACAGAAUUUUUCCUACCAAGUAGGAAGAUUCACUGUGCGAGAGCAUAUAAUAGAAAAGUAAUUAGUCCACAACUAACAUUCUUACCGCACGAAUUGGUGAUUCAAUGUAUGUGUUAUCAUCUCCAUUAUAAAAAAGAAACGAAAAGAAAAGAAAAGAAAAGCAUGUCAUCUUGAAGCCAAUAGGAAUUUGGCAAAAUUUUUGGUAAUGUUAAAUUCAGUAUACACGAAAAGGCACAGAAAAAAAUCAUGAAAGAUUGCAAAACCCAUUAGAGCCACUAAUUAUUUGAAACAACUUACCAGGGCUAAGACACAAGUAAAGGUGAUAAGUUAGCUUUGAUUUGUCCCUCUUUAUAAAACAUUGGAUCAUUCCAUCAUGAGGUCCGGGCUGUGGAGGAAAAGUAGUAGUUAGUAAGUAGUCUAAUUCAUCCAGAAGCAUUAAAUGAGCAAAAAAUUGCCUUAAUUUAUUAACAUUGUUAAAUACAGAAAAUCUACAAUGACAGCUUCAGUCGUGGGUGUUAAUUAAUACUUUUAUUAAGAAAGCAAAGGUCGCUAGGUUCCAAUUAAUACAAGCAAGAAUCAAUUAGUUCUAAAGGCUUAUACAUAUAUAUUUUUCCCUGUAAAAUCUAGGGGUUAGACAAGUAAUCAUUCUAGGAAGUUGGUUUUGUGAUUUUAAAAAGUGUUUUCUUUAUAGAGCAGCAAUACGAUAAUAAGGGUGUGCGCUUAUAUGAGAAACUAAGUUUCGGAAAUGGAUGCAUGAAAAUUUAGUUUUCACAGUAAUACAUAUCAAAUAGAUGAUUUCACAGGGUAUACAUCUAAAAACCUCUUACUUAAUUGAUGGAAAGAUCAAGGAGAAUAACCUGCUUCAGAGAUAAAGGAAAGGUGAGCUUCGCACAAAACUCUGGGCUCCUCACAAUCUCCUCACACAUCUCCCUCCAUGCUUUACAAACGCCCGCGCAAGCCACGACAUGCUUUCGUGCUGGCCAAACACUUUCACUUGCUUCCAAUCUCUUAAUCACAUCGCGAAGUAGCUCUGGAGGAAGGCUAGCCCAACGGCUUGUCUGAAUCACUUCAGGAGAAUCGUGCACUUCAUGCACAGCUCCAUGAGAUUUUCCCCUAUGAUGAUGAUGGUGCCCAGCUAGACUUAGACCCGGUAACCCAGAAAGCCUCACCUCAAAGCUCCGCCUUGAUAAACUCCCAAAACUGUCCCUAACAUCCCUAACUAUGCUUCGAAACGACAUCUAAACCAACAAAUGUAUAAUACUGCAGUAAGAGCCUUCAAAAUGUAGCACCCUAGAAAAAAAAAAACAAUCAGAACUCAUCCUUACUCUUUAGAAUGAACGAAAAGAGAGAAGAGAAAAACACUAUUAUUAGCACCAUCACCUCUUCUUUUCUUUUCUUCUUCUGGACUAAUAAUGUUCUAUUUGCAAAUAGAAACCCUCAUGCUUCCUUCAUAAGGAUUACAAUAAAUAUAUUCCUGAAAACAAGAAAUGGUAACGAGAUACUUAUAUAGAGGCAGAGAGGAAUAAUACUGUUUAACAAACUAUAAAUAGUUAUGAGAAAGUAGCGGCUGCCAGUGUUAUUUACAAAAACCAAUCAUCAAAAAGAAAAAAAAGGAGAAAAGGCAAAAAUGUACAGGCACAAACUACAACUAUGGUACAUUUUGAGUUAAUUUAUGUAUAUCUAACUUUUGACUAUUUGUGAUUUCACUGCAGUUCCGUCAUAUUUUACAAUGAAAAAUUUUGCAAUCUAACGAGAUUUUCUUAAACUGCCUGUUGGAAGCCAUUGAAGGGUUUAGAACCUGCUGAAGAAGUAGUGGAAUGAAAAAAAAUAAUGAAAGGCUAGGUACUGAGAUAAAAAAUAUAUAUAUAUUAUACAUUUUAGCUCCCCAUUUCAAAAAUGCGCUAAUAGUUCGCGUAAUCUCACAUUUUACAUUAAAAAAAAAAUGGUGAACUUGGAAAGGAGAGACAAAAGCAAAAUAGUUGCGAUUAACCACGGAUAGCUAGUGCCAGUUGGCAAUGCUUCAACCACUUGCCAUGUAUGAUAUAAGCAUAGGCUAUCGAAAAAUACCAAUUUUGCACAAAAUAUAUUUUAAUCAAAAAUUUUGUAAAGAAAAAUAGUUUAUGAAUCAGUAUGCUAUGGUUAACUCCAUUUUCUUCAUACCUUUUAAAGAAAUUAUCAUGUCCUAGUUUGCGGAGAAAGCUACAGUGCAAUACAUAGUCUAAGCUCCAAAGCAAAUUGAUGUGAAAAAUUAAAUUUUGAUAUUAUUUUCAAGUCCAUUAUUAAGUAAGCGAGCCCAAAAUGCUUAAUUCUAGAUAUUAUUACUAGGGUAGACUUGCCCAGACGUCCUCGUCAGCCCUAAACACACAGCCCAAGAUCACGAGGUGAUGUGAGACUUAUCUUGCUAACCUUUGUCUGUCAUUCCGAUCCUGACUCAGUCAAAACUCAUCUUAUACUUUCGGCACAUCUCACAUUUUCGGCUGGUGAACUGGCUCUGAUACCAAAUGUAACGACUCGACCUGCUACCAAUAAUAACUCGUUAGGCCAAAACCACCAGCCCAAAAUGUUUAAGCCCUAUUAUUAUUACUAGGAUGGAUUUCUCUUAUAAAUCUAAUGAGCUACUUUUACAUAGGAAGCGCUUCUUAAAUUAAGAGAAAAGAAAGGAGCUACUUUUACAUGAAAUUACUUCGAAAAAUGAGCUACAAUUAAGUUAAUUUGUAGCACAAACAGGAAAAAGCAUCAAAUCAAAAAAUUACCAAGCGAUCUAAGACCAAGUUUUCAACUUUUUGGGGGAAUACAACAAAGUGGAGCCCUAAUUUUACAUAUUUAACACAUGGUCUAAAAACAAUACACAAAUUAAAAACACGAAUUUACCAAAACUGUAGCUGGAGCAAAAGAUCCGACCAAUUUAGCUCAAAAGACUCACAAAUUCCUCCAAAUUAGGCCGCAUUAAGACAAAAUUAACCGCUGAAUCCGCGAUCUAACCUCGAAUCGACUCGAAAUCGACAGGAGAAACGCAGCGAAUCCCCCCAAAUUCGCUCUCGAGGCGAUCUAACCUCGAGUCCACGCCCCAAAUUGGGGGCAGGUGCCGAAACUUCGCAAAAGAGACCUCAAAUUUCCCGGAAUUUUUAAACUUAGCCUUCGAUCGAUCGCUCCACGCAAGGAAUCGGUCGUCCAAAAACACAAACUCCUCUCACCCUCUUCACAAACCAUCUCUCUCUCUCUCUCUCUCUCUCUCUAAGUGGAUCUCAAGAGCUUCGUGAAACGGAGUUGAACGAUGGGUGAGGAGAAAGAAGAAAUGAGAGAGAGAGAGGAAAAGCUCAGUUUUUGUUCAUGGGUAAAAUGUAUGCAUAAUCCCUGUAGUUUCUUUUAUUCGCAACUUACUCUAUUUACUUUGGCUUAAUUACACUCUCCAUUGCACUGCUUUUUUUUUAAAAAAAAUACUAUUAUAUUAUUAUAUUUUAUCAAUUUCCAUACUACAUUUUAGAUUUUUUUUAUUUUUCAACCUUACACUAUUUUAUUUUCUUAUAGAUAUCACAAAACAUUUUUUUCCCUACUAAUCUCUAUAUUACUAUUAAUAAAUCUAAUUUUUAACAAAUCUGAUAAUUUUAUUAAGAGUCAUUAGUUAAAUAGUAAAAAAUAUAUAAAAUGAAUCCCGAUGAUAGUCUAAUUGAAAACUUCUAUCAAGUUACUUUCAAUCAUUUUUUGUUGUUUUUAUGUAUUCUUAUUAUUUUUAUUCAGAAUGAGCUGAAUAUAUGCUAUACUACCUUUAACUAGUAUUUAUUAAUAAUUUUUAUAUAAAAUAUUAUAAGUUUACUGCUUAUAGUAUAGUGAUUGAAGAGAAAAAAAAUAGUUUAAUGGUGUCUUUGAAAAGAAAAUAGGAAAGUGUAAUUAAGCCAUUUAUUUUUUACUUAAACACUUUGUGUGCUGCAUGUUUCAUUAUAAAUGUACAUGUGGAUCUCGACAUGGGUGCAGGUGAAAGGUGAAGUCGCGAGUUUUGACAGUACUAAAGCUUGUAAAUGUAACAAUCCGACCCACUAGCAACAAUAACUCGUUGAGUCCAAACCACCGACUCAAAUUACUUAAACUCGGCUAUUAUUAUUAGCGUGUAGGGCACCGAAUGUGGGAUUAUUAGGGCAUUACAGUAAAUUGUCUUAUAACUCGUACAGAGGCAUCACCCUUCGACUUUGCAGCGCCGUCAAAUAUGCAAUAUCUGGAAGUAGCAAGAGUUCAUUGAACUACUCGAGUUUGGAUUCUGAUUUUCACCACUUAAAAUGUUUUUAACCGUUAGAAUUUUACAAUAUAUGACUAUUGUGGGGGAUUGAACAUAUUAUUUGAUUCUUUUUUUUUUUUUACUUUUGAGCGGCACAAUAAUUAUCGGUGAGAAGCGUCGGAAAUAUGUACAAAUUAAAAAUUAUAAUUGUUAGGAUCUACAACAGAUUAUAAAUAAAAUUUUCAAAUCACAAUCACAAAAAAAAUUCCCUAUAAUAGGUAAGUUUCAGUGAACUAAUUAUUCUAAACAUCCAAAAAAACCUAAAAUUAAAAAAAAAAAAAAUUGUAACAGUCAUACCACAAAAGGAUGUAAUUCAAACUAAUAUUAUUAUGCCAUGUCAAAUACUGAAGGAUAUAACUAAAAAUAAUAUAAUAAUUUUCUAUUAAAAUGUUAUACAAAAAUAAUAAUUAUAGUUGUAUAUGUGUGCAGCAUAAAAAUUAUUGAUUUUUUAUAUUAUUAUUCCUGAGAAGUUAAAAAAGUAUGGACUGACUUGCAAACUUUGAACAGUACAGGGACUAUUUAUACAUUUUAACCUUAUUUUAUCCGGUCCGAUUCAUAGUGGGCAGAGUAGCGAGCUGAGAGUUGACCGUCCGUUCCGUUUAAUCUAACGGCGGUCUCGGACUUUGACGGCGUUACUGUUCGCGCACGCGGAAGAAGUGGGACCCGGACACCAACAUUUUGCCUGCACCGGGUGCACCAUUACACUCGUGCACCCUGGUUUUUUUUAAUAGGCUUUUAUGGUUGGUUCAUUGUACUUUUCACCGGUUUAGUAAUUAUAAAUUUAUUAAAAUAAAUAACUAAUUUAAAAUUUGAUAAUAAAAUAUUAUUGAUUGAUUCAAAUCAAAUAAAUUAAAAAAAUUAAAUAAUAAAAUUAAAAUUUUAAAAAAUAGAUAAUUAAUUUAAAAUAAUCAAUAGUUUAAAUAAAUUUUUUACAUUUUUAUCUAUAAUAAAUCAGUUGUCAUAUAUUUCGCGAUUUUUAAUGUCGUCCUUUGUGCCUAGGAACAUUAUGCACAUGCUAUCAAUCUCAUUCGUUUUUUUUCAAUAAACUAACAAAAAUAAUAUAAAAUAAUUAAAUUUCAGAUAUUAAUAAUCAAUUUUUUUAUCAAUUACGUAAGAAAGGGAUGCUGAUUUUUUCUCCUAUAUUAAAAAAAGAAUUAAUUCCAUACAGCUCUCUGUAAAAUUAGUAAGUAGCGAAUAUGUUCUUAAAAGAUUUAACUUUUAUAUAUUUUUUCUGCAAAAGUCUCGAUAUUUUCAAAUAUGUCACUGUCAUUAGAAUUCAUUUAGAAAAAUUUAAUUAAUCACAGAUUAAACAAUUAACCUUAAUUAAUUUUUGAUAUUUGUAUCCCUCUUAUAUUAUCUUGUUAUAAUUUUUAGAAAAUCAUAUUUAUGAUGACAAAAUUAAAAAGUAUAAAUAGUUUUUUAACAAUAACAAAUCAUACGGAUAUAUUUGAAAAUAUUAAAAUUUUUAUAGAAAUAAUAUAUAAAAAUUAAAUUUUAUAAAAAUAUAUAUUUAUUAUUUACUAUACUUAUAAAGUCGGUAUGAAAUUAAUUCUAAAAAAAUAAGGAAGGACGAAAACUUGCACACCAAUCACUAUCAUGAGUGGCCCCGCCCUCAAACAGUGCCACCUGUCAAAUUUAAAUUUCUAUUAAUAUUUUGUGAAAUUUAAUUUCUUGUUCGCAAAGCGUAUGAUGUUCGCAGCAGUUGAAAAAUGAAGCGGUUGGGGCUUCCAUAUAAAUAUUUUCUCAAUUAUAUUUAAAUAGAAAUAAAUAAAAUUUAUCUGAAUUAUAAAUUAUUUUAAGUCAAUUAUUCAAUCUUUUCAAUUUUUGAUUUUUAAUGCCCAAUCUUUCGCAUUGUUUAUUUGAUCUAAAUAAUUUGAUAAUUUUUUUAAAUACAAAAUUUAAAUUAAUUAUUUAAUUUAUUAAAUUUAUAACUAUAUAAAGUAUAUAAAAUAUACUAGCUAAAUUCAUAAGCAUAAACGACACAUUUUUAUCUUAUAUUUAUUGGAGAUCUAAUUCGUUUUUUUUUUUUUUUAAAGAUUAGGUAGGUAAAUCUAAAUAGAUGAAAGUUGAGAUAAAUUUAAACAUUUUUACUUUAUAUUUAUUUGAGAGAGAAAUGUAAAAUGCUACUGUUUCAUUCAUUCUUUUUAAAAAAUAAAAUUAGCUAACAAUGUAAAACAGUAAAGCUUCAAAUUUGGAACCUCGGGGUACCAAUCGUGAAGCCCUUGGUCACCUGCGCAAGAGAAGGCCAAUGCAAUUAGAAAUGUUGGUGCUGAAAAUAUUAGAUUUUGAUAAGAUGAAAGAAUUUCAAUUGUGUUUUGAUCAAAUUUCAAUAUAAAUUUGCUAAAAGAGAGUAAUGCUACUGGUAUACCCGAAAGUAGGGGUGUCAACGAGCCGAACACGAGCAAGCUGGGGCCUUCACUCGAUAUCUUAAAAAACUAGCUUGUAUUCGGCUCGUUUAUUAAACGAGUCAAACACGAGCUGGUUCGUUAAAGUAUCUGAGUCGAAAAAUUCAGCUCGUGUUCAGCUCGUUAAUAAAUAAGCCGAACACAAGCUAGCUCACGAGCUAGCUAACGAAUAAUAAGUUAAAUAAAUUGCAUUGGAUAUAUAUAAAAAAUAAAUUUAUAAAAUUUUACCCAUUAAGCUUUGAUCUAUGAUUGAAAUUUUACAUAUAAAUGAGUCUUUUUAUAAUUGAGCUUGGAUUAUUUUUUGCUAAAAAUCAAAANGACUUUUCGCCUUUUUUUUUUCUUUUUUUUUUUUUUUCUUUUUUUUCUGUGGAGACGUAUCGCAGCGGAUUUUCGUUUUAAAAUCCUUUUUGAAGUUUUUGGGGGGACACCAAAGUACGUAAGGGUGAAAGUAUGGGACACCAAAUUUUGCAUAGUUAAACGGGGGGGCACCAAAGUAAAAAGAGAAAACAAUAGUUAAAAUAAUAAAAAAAAAAGAAUUUAGUCACUGUUUUAAUUUUAAUUUCCUAUGAUUUCACUUAUAAGCUAUUUAUAUCUACCAAUAGACUUCAAAAAACAUAUAUUAAAUUGCUUUAUAAUUGCUUUUUCGAAGACUUUUCUAUUUUUGCUUUGGUGUCCCCCCGUUUAACUAUGUAAAAUUUGGUGUCCCAUGAUUUCACUCUUACGUACUUUGGUGUCCCCCCCAAAAACUUCAAAAGGGUUUUAAAAUACAUAUGUGAGAUUUUUCCUC